UCUCCGCCACCUCUUUCCCUUUUCCGGUGAUUGAAGAGACCCAUCUAAAUUGCUUGGUUGUCGAUUGCUUCGCUGCAUAUCUAGAUCUAAUAGAAACCCCUGGGUUGAAACUUGUCCUAUUAAGGGUAAGAUAAACUUUAAUGGGUUAUCUUGACCCUCAAUAGUGGAAGGAACCCGAUCGUUGCCUUGAGGUUUACUCCUGUUUUUCCUCGAGGAUGAAGCAGUUAUUGAAUCCUUUGGCAGGGAAGAAGGGAUAAAAGAAUUUGAAUUAAGUAUGGUAAGCUGCGUAAAUUUCUUUGGAGAGUUUGCUUUGAGCCAGGGCCCGUAGGCUUGAGGUCUUCCAGCGGCGAUGAGAUCUGUUUGAAUGCAGGGGUGGGGACAAGAAACACUGAAAUGCCCAAGCAUGCCACAAUUGAAACAUAAAUCCGGCAAUCUUUCAUAUUUUAUUAUGACCCAGACUAUCGUCCCAUCAUCUUUCUUACUAUGGAAUCCAGUAAUAUAAGGCUUCUCUACAUUGAUCAUUGUUUGAUUAUGAGAAUUUGAGCCAUUUCAGUUGCAUUAAUGCUAUCUGGGUCAAGCUCCAAAAACCCUCCAAGAAAAUCUCCUAUUGUGCGCCCAUUUUGAGAAGUGAUUCAAUUAGGUGACAGACAAACGAUCUGUACCCAAAAAGGAGAAUGAUUAAAUUGCAAUUUGUCUAAUGUUUGAUCUGCUGGCCAGUCUUGAAGAACCAAUAAAAAGUUACUAAUGAUCCAUGGCCUAUUCUGAAGCAUAUAAGUAACAUCCUCUGAUUCUUGGAAGGUAAAAACAAACAAAUUGUUUCCUUUCAAUGUGACUUUAAACCCAUUUUUCCACUUCCAUGCUUUGUCUAGAACUGCUCUAAUGACCACUGCACUCAAGGCCUUGGCUGAAAUUAAUUUUCCUGCUAGAGUUUAUUGUUGUAAAAUAAGGCUCUGGGCGGGGUCAGCUUCAAGUGCCAAAGUUUGAUCAUUACAAUUCAAUAACUGAGUGAGAUUCAUUAAGUCUGAGAUAUCUCUAUCCAUGGAGAAAGGAAGAAAAUAGACAGAGAAAGAAAGGUGAAAAGAAAAGAAAAGAUAAUAAACAGAAGGUGAAGAACAACUGAUUUCACCCGUUCCCAAGGAGAGCACAGAGGAGAACCAGAUCUCAGAGAAAGUUCACCCAAAGUGAAAAACUUGCACUCAGUGAAAUUCCCACCAAUUCUCUAAUCUCUAAAUAACCACUAAAAUGUAUUUAAGGGUCAAUCCGUAAAUUACCCCUGAAGUGGUUAGGGAGUUUAUAACUCCUAAAUUUCUGCUAAAAUACACCUAAAAGAUAUAGAGAUUCUAAAUUCCUAAAUUACCCCUAAAAGGUAUUUGAGAAUGAAAAUUUCUUUUCAUCCUUUGUAUAAGAUUGUUUUGUUAUUUUUAUUCCUAACUCUUUAAAAAAUGAAACAUCUUGCAAAUAAUAAAGGGAAUAGAUCUAUUAUUUAAUUAAAAAAAUUUUAACAUAUAAAUAAAAUAUUUAUAUUUUAUUGCUUAAAGUAAUGUCAAAAUUACAAUAUCCAUAUUUUAUUCAUAAUUUUUUUUAAAAAAAAAUAAAACUCUAUGUAAAAUACAUUCUCUAAAACCAUCAUUACUUAUAUUAACAGAACAUAAAUAAGUAAUAAAAUAAUACAAGAGAACAAAUUAUUAAAUCCAUAAACUAAUUUAAUAUUAUUAAAAUUUGAAAUUUUCAAUAACGACAAUAUUAGUAGAAAAAUGCUUUAAUUAAAAUAUUUACAAAGAAAAUCUUGGAUUGUAAUUAUUGGACAGAUGGAUUUAAUUAAUAAUUUUUAUAAUAUGGGAUAGAUUUGGAAAAUUUUGAAAAGUACAUUGUUUCUGGUAAUUAUCUUGACUUAAUUGAUAAUUUUAUUGGUGGAGUAUAACUAAGAUUAUCUGAAUAUCAUUCAGAUAGUUCAGUUGAAAUUGAAUUGAAUAAAAUAAAUUAAAAAUUAAAAUUUUAAUAUUUAUAAAAAUUAAAUUAAUUUUAAUAAGAAAUUGAAUCGAAUUGAAUUAAUAAUUAAUUUGAUUCGAUUCGAUUUAAUAAUUUAAAUUUUUAAUAAAUUUUUUAUUUUUAUACUUUAUUUUUAAUAUUUUAAAAUUUAAUUAAAAUAUUUUAACUUUAAUAUGAUAUAAUCUCAAUCUCUGUAUUAUUGAAAAUAAUAUAUUAUUAUUAUUAUUAAUAAUAAGUUUGAUUCAAUUUUUUUUAAUUUUUUCAGAUCAAAAUCAAAAUAAUUAAAAUUUUUAAAAUUAAAAAUUAAAUUAAAAUGAAUAAAAAAUUAAAUUAAAAUUUUAAAUUAAUUCGAUUUGAUUAAUUUUUUUAAAUUGAACCGAAUAAUUAAAAAUAAAAAAAAAAUAAAAAGUGCAGUGUAUAAUUUUGGUAAUUAUAUCAUUUUCAAUUAAAAUUUUGAUUGUAUUAGGAAAAAGAGUGAAUUAUUCUAAGGGCUGUAAAUUUAGAUAUAUUUUGGCUUUUAAAAAUACUUAUAUAGUAAUAAAAUUUACAACUAAUGCUAUUAUUUUUACAACUUUUUAAUUUAUAACAAUUUUAUCAUUAAAAUAUUAUAUACUUAUUUUUUAAAAUUUUACUUUAAAAAUAUUUUUUAGUCCUCAAUUUUCAGAUAACUAAUUUUUAAUUUUAAGUUAUCAUUUUAUCCAAAAAUAAACAAUAAAAAGUUAGUCGACUUAAAUAAUAAGAGAUUAAUAAGUAAUAGAAGAUCAGUUUAUUUUUUUAAUUAAGAACGAUUAAUUCAAUUAUAUUGACUCCAAAUUAAGCUCUAUAACCUUCUUUGGCCAUUUCAAUCCUUCCACCACCUGAGAGAGAGAGAUUCAUCUAUAAAAAUAACAAUUCAUCUCACAACUUAUACCACAUUGAGUUGAGUUAGCAUUGUUAUAUUCAACUUUUUUUAUCAAAUGGUUGAUCCUGCACCUCAAUCAAUUGUUGCAAAGCAAUCACAGCAGUAACUCGAGCCGACCAGUCAACCAACCAGAAACAAAAUAAAAAUAAAAAUAAAAAAUACAAGUCAUUUCAGAAACUGCUUAAGCACUGAAGAAUAUCCAACAGAAAAGAGGCUUGGCUUGUCUUGCUCUCCUUAAUUGCUAUUCACAAAUCCAGUGCUUUUUCCUUUCUUGAUUUCAUGCAGAGACGGGCAAUUGACCAGCAAAAAAUCAAUGAAUCCCUAACCACCUCUCGACAUAACUUUGGAAGAGAUGCAUAGAAUUCAAGAACUUCAUCAGAAGGGUUGGACAAAAGCAGUUCCUCAGGCAGGACUGCCUCUCAAACGAUCAAGAAGCUGCAAUAGUUGAUAAACACUUAGAUACAGCUGAACUGUAGAUGAAAUUAUACAAUAAAACGGUGAUUCCAUAUCAAGCAUUUGACGUGGAAUGACAAAUCAAUAGUAAAAUGACAAAUAAGCAGUUUGAGUUAUUUUAAUUUUUUAUAAAAAAUCUGCUGAUAUUUAUUAUUUUGUUGGACUCACUGCUAGUUGGCUUUAAGAGAAAUUAUUUUGUUGUCCCUAAGUUAUAUCAACAUUAACACGUCCCUCUAUUUGAUUCUGUUAAAUUGAAAGAGGACUUAUACGAGUUCACUGGCAGGACGUCAAAAAUAAAUUAAUUUCAAAUAGACACAACUUCAUUUAUCCAGGAAUUCUUCUGCAGCUUCAUUCUCAUCUUAAGUCUAAUAAUAUAAGGGAAAAAUUACUAUUUAGUUCCUAUGGUAUGGAGAAACUCACUAGUUGAUUUCUCGAUUUUAAAAAAUACAUUAAAACGAUCAUAUGACAUUUUAAAAAAUUUAUUAGUUAGUCGCUCCGUUAGUUUUAACCAUUAAAUUCUAUAAAAAAAAGUCUAAAAUGCCCUUAAUAUAGAGAGACUUAGUUUUGGACUUCCAAUUUUGGCUGUUAAAAUGGCCUUUUCAUGCUCAAACCUCCAAAAAGCAAAGCAGGAUAAAACUUCCUACAGCUGAGAAUAAGCAAGUUGGAUGACCUCUAAUUGCCAUUGCAUAAUUGGGUUGUUUGACAAGACCAACAAAGGAGUAUGUGAUUGAGAUAAGUUAGUCUACACCCAUGAACAAAGACUUCAAAAGUAAUUGAAGAAAAUAAGUAUGAGUCUGACUCACCAGAACAGGAUACUGUAUAAUCCAUCCAACAACUGGAAUCUGAUAGAGGAACACCUUAACUGAUGGCCAGAAGCCACUAAAAGAACAACAUCAAAGCAACAUCUUAGUCUCAGAAUAGAUAUGUAAUCCAGUUAGCAAUUAUGAUAGAUGCAAAGAACUAACCCAAAGAGAGCAAUACAGCCGUAUAUUUCUAAGAUUAUACCAACUAUAGGCCAGCGAACAAAGAUGAAGAAAAGCCCCAGGACAAAACACACAGAGCCCUGCAGAAAAAAGGAAAAUUUUAAUACAUCUGCCUUUCAAAUGCAUCCAUCAAGUUUUGAUGCCAUUCAGAAAGGCAUGUCAAAUUCGUGCACAUCAGCAGAAUCAAUAACAAAAAGAGAAGCAUGUAGAUUUGGUGCAAUUAGACAUAAUGGAAUCGGGUCAAAUACAAUUUGAAUAGAACGAUGGACUAUUAAUUCUUUCCCUUGAGCCUCACAAAGCUCAAAGCCAAAACCACUUGGGUGCCCUUUGUCUCCCCCCCUAUAGAUUUUUAACGCCUGCUGUGUAAAGAAAGAAAGCAGAACUUCUAGGAGCACUUCACUAUGUGCCCACUCAUAUGUCAAUGCUGCAAAAUUCGUAGGAUUUGAUAGAGAACUAAAAGAUGGAGGAGAGCAGAUAAUUUUUUUUUUUUUUUUUUUUGCAUUGAAACAGAACUAAGAGAGAGAAGAAUAUCAAUCUUUCAGCCAACACAAUGAGAUUUUCCUUUUUUCCAAAGAAAGGCCUAUCUGCAAGUUUGCAAAAUUGGUCAACAGGUGCCCCUCAUUUGAAGUUGCAACAAUUCUAGCCAUCAUCUAAAGGUUAGAUGGUAAUGGCGUGAUGCACCUUUAAAACUGCUCCAAAGCUGAAAGUUAUCAAGCCAGCAUCAAGAUAUUUUGAAAUUGCCAAAUAGCAGUACCCUCAAAUCAAAGGGAGGCAGUAAAUGCAAGGUUUUAAGAAUCACAGAAAAAGAGUCAAAGAAGUUUAUAUUGGAAGUAUAAAGCAAGAGUUUCAGAGUUUCUACGUGAAAUUAUCCUGGAAGGACAAUGGUUUUUUUGUCUUUCCCUUUAGUAUCACAAUAUACAGUAAAUAUGUUUUGCAUUGCUGGCUUUAAACCCCAAAUCUUUCAGUAAUAGCACGUCCAACAUAAAUCCUUAUUUGGUAAAUAUGGAAAGACAGAAAGAUCAUUAGGCGAUGGACAGCACUAGAAGUUCAACAUUUGAUUCUCCUUUCACUUACCUUGUAGUUUGCUUUGUUUGUAAAAAGAUUCCAAGUAGAACGCCAACCAAGCAAUAUGGCUACCCCUGUUAACCAAAAUAUCUAAUCACAAAACCCCAAAAGGUUAGAAAAUUAUAGCUUUUCCAGCAUUCCAACAAAAUAAAGUCAACAAAAUUCUUAAGAGUUAUAGAAAAGACUUACAUUGCCUAGGGCAAGCAGACCCCUAUCAAAAAACAGAAGUACACCAAGAAAUGAGAAAAAGAUGCCGAAGCCAAUGAGACCCAAUCCAAUUUCUGCAAAUUAAAGCCAAGGGGUCAAAGCAAGCUAGGCAAGCUAAACAAUACAGCACCAAAUAAUUUUGCUCAGAAGUCCUAUUAUGCAGACAGGAAAACUUUAUCACGAUACCUCUAUGGCUUUAUCUGACAUUGUAUGAAGAACUAUAUAGGAGUGAGUGAAUAUCAGGUUUAUAGAAGUUAUUGAACUUUGUCAUAUAUAUAUCUAUAAACACAUACUAAAAUAGCAAAAACAAACUUUAUUGUCAAGUCAUAUGGUAUAAGGAGCAAAGACUGUAUAUACUUGGAGCUUGGCAAACUCAGUGAUAUCAGGAAAAUUAACCCCUCAAACCAAGGUGGACAAACCCAGUGGCAUGCAAAUCCCUCCUAAUCACGCAAUCAGUAACAAGAGUGAUACCAAGAUUCCAGGCCUUUACUUCUGUUGACUUAUUCACUGAUUCUAGCUGAUUCUAGGGAUAUGAUUUGAUUUGAUUACGAAUCUUAAUUAUCUUUGUAAUUAUUAUUUGAUUAUUUGCUUUCUGUUUAGAUAUAAUUCUUUAUUUAUAAAUAGUCAUGUAGACCAAUUAUAAAGAUUUAGAGUGAAAUAUAAGAAUACUCUAAAUUUUUUCAAAAUUCUUCAUGGUAUCAAAGCCUUUUUCCUGAUUUUAGACCUCAAAUUCAAUUUUUCCUCUUUAGGGUUUCAGAACCCUAGAUCUACCUUUUUGGUACUAACCCAUCUAGGAGCCUUUUCUCCUCUCACUGCCGACACCACGAGAAUCGCUGGACUGUCGCUGGCCGAUCGCCAGCUCUGACAUUGGAAAAACCUGUGCGUGAGGCUCACGCGCCUCCUUUUCCCGGUGCGUGUCCCAUCGCUUCCCGACGCGUGACCCAUCGCCUGACCCUGCUUUGCCGCUCCGAUCACUCCGGCGACAAUUCUGACCAUCUUUCCGACCUUCCCGUGCUGCUACCCGGUCUUUUGGUGAAUCGAUUGGACUCUCUUGUGUGUGCCUUGGAUACCUCCUAUUCUGUCACAGUUCAUAAACCUUUACCAUGGCAGAAGGUAAAAGAGUCUCGAUUCCUAACUCUGAUUAGUCAUCCUCCAGUGCCACAUCUAACUUUGUAAAGUCAGGUAAUAUUCCAUGGAUUAUCGAUUCUGAUAUGAACAUACACAUGACAGGCUCUUCUAAAGACUUUCUCAAUUAUUUUCCUUCUCUAACCAAAGAUAGUAUCAUAAUUACUGAUAGCUCUUUUACUCCCACAUUUGGAACAUAUUCUGUUAUUUGCACAUCCAACAUUAAAUUAUCAUCUGUCCUCCAUGUUCUCCACUUUCCUGUCAGCCUUUUAUCUGUCAAUACUAUCACCAAUGCCCUUAACUGUAAAAUUGAAUUUUUUUCCUGAUCCUUGUAUUAUUAGGGAUUUUCGCACAGGGAAGAGGAUUGGCAAUAGCAGGCUGCAUGAUGGCUUAUAUAUGUUGGAGGGUGAUCCAGAUUCUUCGAUAUCUCAAGCCUAUUUUGGAGAAAAUAAGGAUAUCAAUCAGGAAAUAAUACAGUGGCACAGACGGUUAGGGCAUCCAUCUUUUUUUGUCUUAGAAAAACUUUAUCCUAAUUUGUUUGCUAGAACUCAAGUUGAUUCGCUAUUUCGUGAUGCUUGUGAGUAUGCUAAAUACACUAGAACAUCCUAUCCUUUGAGUCAUAAUAAAAGUCAAAUUCCUUUCGUGACUAUUCAUUCUGAUAUUUGGGAGCCUACUCAAACUGUCUUCUUGUCUGGUAAUCGAUGGUUUGUCACCUUUAUUGAUUGUUGCACUCGAAUGACUUGGGUCUAUUUGAUUAAAGCUAAAAGUGAUGUCUUUUCUUGUUUUCAAUCAUUUCAUAAGAUGGUUUGUACUCAAUUUGAUACUAAGGAGAAAAUUUUGAGAACUGACAAUGGAAGAGAAUAAUGGAUAGUAGUUUUUCUGCUUAUUUGGAGAGUAAUGGGAUAGUAUAUCAGACUAGUUGUCCUUAUACUAGUGCUCAAAAUGGCGUUGCUGAGAGAAAAAAUAGGCAUCUAUUCAGGGUAUUAAAUAACGGCCGUUAUGUAACGUAACGGCCGUUAUGUAACGUAACGGCCGUUAUGUAACGGUAUCAAGGGGGGUCGUUACCCGUUAGGCCGUUACCCAACACCCCUCCUUGAAUUGCGUCCGUAACAGCCGUUACCGACAGUGUUGUAACGGUAACGGCCGUUACUUUAUCCCAACACAAGAUUCAGAAUUCAGAGAAUAUAUUCAGGCCAGCUAUGCAUUGAAUUUGACCACUUUUGUCCCUCUUCUCCAGCAACCAGCACAGCAGAAACCCAGGUACUCAUUUUGCAACUAAAAUUUCCAACUUUCUCUUCCUUUUCUCUCAAAUAUCUCAAUCUCAAGCUUCCCUAAACAUUUCUCAUUUACAAUUACAAGCUUAAAUCUACCAUUAACUACCUUAUUUCAAGGCAAUUUCUUCUAAAAGGUGAGUUAAUUUUUCUGUGUAACUUUACUUUCAGAAUUCAGAGUUGCUGUAUUUUUUUUUUUUAAUUUUUGUAGAUUAAAUUUGUAGUUUUGGGUUAAAAAUAUACUUUGAGCUAUUAAUUUGUCCGAUCUAUAAAGAUUGUAUGGUUUUUGUUAGUUUAGACUAUUUUUCAGAAAUUAUUAUGAAAUUAAAUUAAUUUUAGUUGCUAUAUUUUAUUUUUGUUUCAUUUUUGUGGAUUAAAGUGUUAAAUUUAAGUUAAAUUAAUAGUGUAUUUUUACUUUCAGAAUUUAGAGGAAUAAGAGCUGCUGUAUUUUUUUUAAAAAAAAUUUUGUAGAUUAAAUUUGUAGUUUUGAGUUAAAAAUAUACUUUGAGGCUAUUAAUUUGUCCGAUCUAUGAAUUAUAUGGUUUUUGUUAGUUUAGUUUAGACUAUUUUUCAGAAAUUAUUAUGAAAUUAAAUUAUUUUUAGUUUCUAUAUUUUUUUUUGUUUAAUUUUUAUUGAUUAAAGUGUUAGUUUUGAGUUAAAUUAAUAGUGGUAGAAUAAAACUUGUAGUUUGACAAUUAAAAAUUUCAUAUUUAUAUAAUUUGUGUUAAAUAGAACUUAAUGUAUGGAGUUAGAUUAAAAUUAAAAUAUUAGUUAUGAAAAAAAAUAUUUGCCUUCCAUGUAUUUGACAUUUGAUAUCUUUUAAUUUUUAUGGACACUUAUUAAACAUUUGUAUUGAAAAUGCCUCGUGGAAGUGGUUCUGGUUCUACUCAAGGGGGUGGUAAACCAAGUGAAGAUAUUGGGUGGAAGUUUGCAACACCUACAGGGAAAAAAGGAGAACUGAUUUGUAAUUUGUAAUUUUUGUGGGAGAAAAGUCACAGGUGGAAUAACAAGAUUGAAGUUGCACUUGGUUAACAUACCUGGUCAAAUUGCAGGUUGUCAGAAAGUUUCUUCCCAAGUUAAGAAGGAUAUGGCCGUUGUCCUGAAAGAAUACCAAUUAGCUAAAAAGGAUAAAGAAAAAAGAGAAAGAGAAUUAGAAGAAGAAAUUAUGAAUAUAAAUAGAAUCGAAGAUGAUGAAGAGGAGGAGGAGGAGGACAUCGAAAUGGAAAUGGCGAGACGGGCGAGCAUGAGACAGUUGGAAGAAGAUGAAUUUAGAAGGAGAACUGGAUCUAGAUUUGAUGUUGGUGGUAGUAGCAAACAAGUGUUGGGUCGUUCUGCUACUACACGUGAGAGAGGUAGAGAAGCACAAAGAUAUGCAGAAGUAUCUACACCGGCAUCUCGGUUGGCUGUCACAGAAGUUGAGAUAGAGAGAAGCAGAGCCCAACAAAAGCAACCAAAGUUAAAAACUAAAUGACUAAAUGGUUGAAGACACAGAAGGAGAAAAUGUUGAAAGCAUUUGGAAAUUUUGUUAUACAUAAUAGGCUUCCCUUCAGUAUUGUUCAGUCACCGUAGACAAAGCCACUUUUAAGAACAGCAGCAGAAAUCGGGCCUAAUGUAUCUCCACCUAGUGCUUAUGAAAUUGCAGAAGUUUAUAUGAAAAAUGAGUACAAUGAGAUGAAAAAAUAUAUAGCCUCAUUUGAUGGAAUAUGGAAGGAGAGGGGAGUUACUAUAAUGUGUGAUGGUUGGAGUGGGCCAACACGUAUGAGUAUAGUAAAUUUCCUUGUCUACUCAAACAGAGGCACAGUGUUCCACAAGUCUAUUAAUGCAUCCGAUGUGGAACACAAAGAUGGAGAAUACUAUUUUAAAAUUAUGAAAGAAGUAGUGGAAGAAAUAGGCCCUCAAAAAGUUGUACAAGUGGUAACGGACAACGAAGCUGCCAUUAAAUUAGGAGGGAAGAAACUGAUGGAGAAAUUCCCUAAUCUAUAUUGGACUACUUGUAGUGCUCAUUGUAUUGAUUUGAUUUUGGAAGAUAUUGGAAAGAAGAGUGAAAAAAAUAAUUGACCAAGCCAAGGUAAUUACCCAAUUUAUUUAUAAUCAUAAUUGGGUAGUCAAUUAUAUGAAGAAAUUCACGGACAAUAGAGAUAUUAUUCGACCUGGCAUCACUAGAUUUGCCACAAAUUUCAUUGCUUUAGAGUUUAUUGUUCGUUAUAGGGUGGGGCUAAGGAAUAUGUUCGAAUCGGAGCAAUGGAUGAUGAGUAAAUAUGGACAAGCAACAAGUGGUCCAGCGCAUGAAGCAAAGAAAAUUGUGCUUGGAUUAGGCAGCGAGGGCACAACAAAUAAUGAAAGUUCAAGAACCUCUCCUGAAGGUUUUAAGAUUAGUUGACGGGGAUGACAAGCCAACAAUGGGAUUUAUAUACGAGGCAAUGGAGCGAGCAAAGUUGGCUAUUCAAAAAAAUUCCAGAAGCUAUUUGGAAUAUUGGAGAAUAAUCGAUCAUAGAUGAAAUUUUCAAUUGCAUCAUGACUUACAUGCCGCUGGUAAGAACAUUGUAUUAUAAUUUAAUAGUUUAGAAAAUUAAAUUGUUAAAUUAAGAGAUAACUUAUUAUCUAUCUUCAUAUUUUAUUUUGCAGGAUAUUUUCUAAAUCCUCAAUAUCAAUAUGGCCCACAUGAUAUUGGAAAUGAUAAUGAGAUCAUGUUGGGUCUCAAAAAUGUGAUUCAACGUCUAGAGGGGGAUUUAGUAAAUCAAGGAAAAGCAUUAAAUCAAGUAAGUAACAAGCUAAUUCUCAAGUGUUACUAUGUUAGUGUAGUUGAAGGCUUGAAGUUCGAACUAUUACUUUUGAACUUGAAGUUAACUUACUGGAAUUUGGAACAUGUAGGCCUUACUUUUUCGAGACAAAAUAGAGAGUUUUGGAACAGCUUUGGCGCAAAAAGCAAUUAAGUUCACUAAUCCAAGUACCAAGUUUAUAAAAUAAGUAUAAAUUAUUUUUGUUCAUUCAUUUUUAUACAACUACGUUCAUUAAAAUAAUAAAAAUUUAAAAAUAUUUUGCAGCUGAGUGGUGGAUUAAUUAUGGAGAAAGUGCUCCUGAGUUGAGAAAAAUCGCUAUUAAAGUAGCGAGUCAAACAACUUCGGCUUCAAACUGCGAGAGAAAUUGGAGCUCAUUUUCACUCAUUCACACAAAGACAAGAAACAGAUUGAAAUAUCAAAAAUUACAUGCACUUGUCUUUGUGCACUACAACAUAAGGCUGAAAAUUAGAAAUGUGACAAGAAAAAGCCAAUAGGAGUUAGACAAGAGUUACGUUCCAAUUAAUUUGGAUUAUAUUUUUGAAGAAGAUGAUCCGUUAAACUCUUGGUUAGAGGAAAGGGAAUCUCCAUUGCUUGAUGGGCAACCAAAUCCAUGGUUGGAUGAUGAAGAGUCGGGUAAUGCUCCAUCACAGUCUGAAUCUGCCACUCAAACUCAAGGACAACAAGGUGUUGCUGGUGAUGAUGAUUCUUUUAUUUUAUCCAGCUCUAGUAGUGAUGAUGAUGAUGGUGGUGGUGAUCAAGGAGGAGGAACCACAGUUGAAGGAGGUGGUAGUCGUAGUUCACAAGAUCCACCUAGUCCAAGACAAAGUGGAAUUAGAAUUGCUUCUGAACCAUCUCCAAUGCGUACAUAUCAAAGAUCACGAGGCUCUCAUAGUUCUGGUACUGGUGGUGCUGAAACAUCCCAAACAAGGGGUAAGAGUGUUGCAUAUGAGGAGGAGGAGUCAAUUGAUUCAUUAAAUUAUGGAUACGACACUGGCACAUAUAAUCCAAAUUUUAUGUAUAGUGAUGGACCUGGUGGUAGCUCAUCAUCUAAAGAUACUUCAUCAAAUUAUGGGUUCCAUAGCCAAUUUAGAGGGGUGCCAUAUCCAACAAAUUAUCCUCCUGCAUAUUCAUAUGACCCCUUAUCAGGAGCAGAGUCAGCUUUAUCAUACCCUCAGCCAACUUAUGGUGACCCUAAUGAUAUUAUGGAUGGUGGUUCCUUAUUUAGUUUUGAUCCACAGCAAUACUAUCAACAUCAGCAGCAUCACCUUAAUAAUCAAAGCUCAGCAAGCCAAAGUCAAGACCAACAAGAAACUGCACGACAUUCUUUUUUGUGGUAGUGAGGUUGGUAAUUUCCUAUAUGAUAUUUAAUUUAAGCUAAAUAGUAUAUAUUUGAUAUAUUUAUAUUUAUUAUAUAUUUGUAUACAUUAUUCUGAAUUAAAUCUAUUGAUAUCAUAUCAUUUUAUGAACUUUGCAAAUUGAUUUGAAAAAUUUGCAUAGCACCAGGCCGUUACCGUUACGUUACGGCUGUUACAGACCUGUUUCCGUUACCCGCGACCGCGGCCUCGAACCCGGCCGCAAUCGCAAUUUAAAACCAUACAUCUAUUGAAAAUAGCUCGAUCUCUUAUGUUCACCAUGAAUUUACCCAAACCAUAUUGGGGAGAUGCAAUCCUUGCAUCGGCUUAUCUUAUCAAUAGAAUGCCUCUCAAGACCCUUAAUUUUAUGAGUCCUUUGGCGGUUCUACAAGGUAAGAAUUCAUAAGUUGUUCUACCAAAAAUAUUUGGGUGUGUUUGCUUUGUCCAUAUUAGGAAGGCAGGAAAAGUGGAUCCCAAGGCCCUUAAAUGUGUGUUUGUUGGGUAUUCUCCAACACAAAAAGGAUACAAGUGUUAUCGCCCUCAUUCUAGAAAAUACUUAGUCAGUAUGGAUGUUACCUUCCGAGAAACUGAACCCUACUUCAGUACCACCCAUUCACCUCUUCAGGGGGAGAAUAAUGAGCAAGAAGAGGUGACCGAAUUUUGUGAUUCUGAAUGAUAUGGUACAACUAGAGAGUUUGAGUUCUAGUAGACAGGCGGGAGAUAUCCAAUCAGGAAGAGAGAAUUGGUCGUUUGGACAAGCCAGAUUUGAGAAGGUAUUCGAGGAGAGACAAGGCAGAAAAAGCCAUUAUGCAGUCUACUCAGAGUCAAGAAUCUUCUUCUAGUGAGUUACCCAAUCAAGAAUCUUCCUCUGGUGAGUUACCCACAACUCUUGAAUGCUCCAAUGACUUAGAUAAACGUAUUGCACAAAGAAAAUGGGUCAGAUCUUGUACUAAACACUCUAUUUCUAACUUCAUUUCUUAUGAAUUCUUGUCUCCUUCCUAUAAAGCCUUUGCCUUGUCUAUUUCCUCUGUGUCUAUUCCACAGGAUUGGAAGAAAGCUCUUGCAGAUCCUAAAUGGAAGGGAGCAAUGAUUGAAGAGAUGAAAGCAUUGGCUAAAAAUGAGACAUGGGAGCUUGUUACUCUCCCACCUGGAGAGAAACUCGUUGGUUGUAAAUGGGUGUUCACAAUGAAACACAAAGUUGAUGGCACAAUUGAACGGUCUAAGGCUAGAUUGGUUGCUAAAGGAUUCACCCAAACUUAUGGAGUAGAUUACCAAGAGACAUUUGUCCUGGUUGCAAAAAUGAAUUCAAUCAGAGUUUUAUUAUCUUGCGCAGCCAACUUGGACUGGAACUUGUAACAGUUUGAUGUGAAGAAUGCUUUCCUUCAUGGAGAUUUAGAGGAAAAAGUGUUCAUGGAAAUUCCUUCUGGGUUCGCUGAUGAGAAGACACAAGGAAAGGUGUGCAGGUUAAAAAAGUCUUUGUAUGGGCUAAAACAAUCUCCCAGAGCUUGGUUUGACAGGUUUAGCAGAGCCAUGAUGUCCUUUGGUUACUAACAAAGCAAUGUUGAUCACACUCUGUUUAUCAAACAUCACAAGAGUAAGAUCACCCUUCUUAUUUUGUAUGUUGAUGAUAUAGUGGUGACAGGUGAUGACAAAGAGGAAAUGGCUCAACUAAAGAGGUUGUUGACUCAGGAAUUUGAAAUCAAAAAUCUAGGAAAACUGCAAUAUUUCCUAGGUAUCGAGGUAGCUAGAUUAGAAAAAGGAAUUUUCAUCUUCCAAAGAAAGUACAUUCUGGAUCUUUUGGAAGAAACUGGUAUGAUGGGGUGUAAACCAGCAGAAUCUCCCAUUGAAAGUAAUCACAAGCUGGAAGCAGAAACUGAUGAGUCCGUGGAUAUUGGAAGAUACCAGAGAUUGGUAGGAAGGUUGAUUUAUCUCUCACACACUCAACCGGAUAUAGCCUAUGCUGUUAGCUUAGUCAGCCAAUUCAUGCAUGACCCACGGAAGACUCAUAUGCAGGCUGUACUUCGCAUCUUGAGAUACCUAAAGUCUGCACCAGAGAAAAGGCUUCUUUACUCCAAACAUGGUCACCUCCAAGUUGAAACUUUUACAAAUGCAGAUUGGGCAAGAUCUCUCAAUGACGGGAGAUCCAUCUCUGACUACUGUACAGUUGUGGGAGGGAACCUUGUUACCUGGAGGAGCAAAAAACAAAGUGUUGUUGUUCAGUCAACUGCUGAAGCAGAAUACAGAACAAUGGCCCAAAGUGUGUGUGAACUCUUAUGGUUGCAGAAGUUAUUGAUGGAGUUGAGGUUGCUCGAGAGAGACAAGAUAACUUUGUAUUGUGACAAUAAAGCUGCUAUAAGUAUAGUACAAAAUCCAGUCCAACAUGACCGGACGAAACACAUUGAAAUUGAUCGGCACUUCAUAAAAGAAAAAUUAACAGACCGUGUCUUGAGCCUAGUUCAUGUGACUUCUACUGGGCAACUUGCGGAUGUGUUUACUAAAGGACUCAACAACAAAAUCUACCAUAUUCUGAUUUGCAAGUUGAGCAUGUGCGACAUUUUUACACCAACUUGAGGGGGAGUGUUGGCUUAUUUACUGAUCCUAGCUGAUUCUAGAGAUAUGUUUUGAUUUGAUUAGGAUCUUUAAUUAUCUCUGUAAUUAUUAUUUGAUUAUUUGCUUCCUGUUUAGAUAUAAUUCUUUGUGUAUAAAUAGUCAUGUAAACCAAUUGUAAAGAUUAAGAGUGAAAUACAAGAAUACUCUAACUUUUCCCAAAAUUCUUCAACUUAAAAAGAUUAUUUUCUUCUUCAAUUUUAUAUUCCACUAGUGAUUCCAUCAACUGCCAUGUUUCUUCUUUUCACAAGCAAGAAUUACUUAUCAUGACCUUAUUUACCCUUUAAGAAUUUCUGUUCUCAUUUUCUUUCCCGGUGUAUCUUAUAUAUGCCUUCUCAGAAUAUUAGAAUUUAAUACCACUCAUUGCUAAUAUGUGCAGUCAAGCUUCAUAGAUAUUAUUAGAGAAUCCAACCCAAGAACUUAAGUAGCAGGUGGAUAGUGUCAAAUGAUACAUAAGUUCAUAGCAAGCUUUGUACUUUUCUUGCAUAUAUAAUGUAUUAGAUUAAUAAACUAAACCCUGCUCUCCAAUGCAAAUACAAGAAAUAUACUAGAGAAAAGGAAUAAACAAGCAUAGAAAAAGUGAAAUAUUAAUACAUGAUCACCUUAUCAAAAAUUCACAGCUAAAUAGAAUACUGACUAGUGAUUACUUAGAAGUUAAAAGCAUUACAGAUAAAACAACAUCUGGAAAUUUAUGCCGCAUGAAACCCUAAAAAAUUAAGCAUACCAAAUCAAAAGAAUUUUUGUUUUAAAAGAAGUAAGAGAACAUAAAGAUGAUAUUAUUAAGUAUAUGCACCCACACAAACAUGCACUUAAUAAGGGCGAGAGAGAGGGGGGGGUGCAUAUGAAGGACUCACUCUUUUGUUCAUUUAGUUCAUAGGCCAUCUGGAUGAUUGUAUGAACACCCUUUCUUUCAACAAAAUAUGAAGAAUUUCAGAGAAUUUGUCAGUCAGGUUCGCAGUGACACUCUCUUUGAUAUGGAGAAAAUAGGAAUCACCUUAUUAAAAGCUGCAAAAAGAAAAAUUGGGAGCUUAGUAAGUAACAGCACAAGAAUGAAUCACCAAUCAAGGUUGCUUACUUAUUUGAAGCCUCAAAAGAUACCAUCAAUCAAAAGCCACAACACGGCUAUACAACAAAGUACUCAAAUCCAAGCAAGUAACUUCAGCUAAACUUUACACAUGUAUAUACAAAAAUAACCAAAGUAAACAAAGAAUUAACCUGUUUGGGCGGCAAGAAACAAAAGAAAGAAAAAGGGGGGAAAGACAAACGACAUGAAAGGACAAACAUUGAAUUCAGCUUCUUGUUCAUAAGCAAUCGAGAAAAAAGAAAUUAAAAAAAUGCCCACUGAAUUAUUCCCAUCCGAGAAGGCAUUGAUAUAAAUUCAAAGUUAAAUUGUAACAAAAAAUUGAAGGAGACAGAAGCAAUGCAGAAAUUGAGUGAAUGGAGGGGAAAAAAAGCGUAGAGAGAAAUAGAAAGGAGCUUGCCAGUUAACAGAUCCCAGGAAUCAACAAUGGAAUGAAGGAGCUAGUCACCGGUUCAGCAACUGUGUAAAACGUCUUCUUCUCUCCUUCGAAUUCAUGGCUUCAUUUCGAAGGGUGGUACUACUACGGACUACAUCUGUUCAUCUCUGAUUCGAGUAGGCCCAAUCCCGCAUAGUGUUUUCUUCCUUUGUAUGUGAUCUCAUCGGCCCAGCCCUAACCCUAAUUCAUAAUCAGUUAGUUAAAAAAUUUUAAAAAUUCUGCUUAAAAAGUAAAUAAAGCUAAAAUUAAAUACAACCGUUAGGAGUCUGUUUGAUAUUUUUUUUGAAAUUAUCUUGAAAAUAUAUAUAUUAAAUAUAUUAAUUUUUAAAUAUUAAAAAUUAUUUUAAAUUUUAAUUUAAUAUAUUUAAUUAUAAAAGUAUGUUAAAAUUGAUAUUGAAACUAAAAAAUAUAUAUUAGGUAUUGAAUUCUUUUAUUUUUAAAUUGUAAAAAAAAAUAAUUUAAUUAAAUUAUUGUAAAAUUAUUGAUUGCAAAUAGGAGUGGGUGUGUAGGCCAAGCCCACACAAUUCCGUGAGCUUCUUCUCAGCUGUUGCCUAAGAAGAUCAUCAGUAAUAAUUAAAUAACACAGACUCUAUUAUUUCAGAAAAUAAUUUAUUCUUCAAAAAUAUAGAAAAUAUGUUUUGUAAAAAAUAUAUUACAAGAAACAAUGUAUUUUUUAAUAGCAAUAUAUAUUAAAAAUUAAAAAAAAUAGUGGUUUUAAUACAAUUUCCAAAAUAAUUUCCUUUAUUUUAAUUAAAAAAGGAAUUAUUUAUUUUAAUAAUGACUUAAUUUUCCUCUAUAGAGCAAAAUAUUUUGGAUUAAUUAAUUUUUUUAAUGUUUUAAAUAUUAGAAAAUACAUAAACUUUUCAACGAGGCCUUAUAUUAUUAUAUAUAAAAGUGGAAAGAGAAGGAAAUAUUAGGAUUGAAAACUAUGCUCUUAGAUUAUUUAUUUAUUUAUCAUAUUUUAUAUUUAAAAAUAGAUAAUAAUUUUAUUAUUUAAAUAAUUUUAAAUUAAUAAAUUAUUUCAAAUAUCACCAAAAUUGAUUUUAAAUAUAUUAUUUAAAAUUACUGUAUGUUUAAAUUUUUUUAUUUUUAAGUUUAAUUAAUUUUAUUUAGUAAUUAGAUAGGAUAAUUAUUAAAAUUAAUAAUUUUGAUAAUACUUAAAUUUUAAUAAAUUAAAAAAUUAAAUUUUUUUAUAUAAAAUAAAUAAAAUAACCAAUUUAAAUAUUAAAAAAUACUAAAAUAUUAAAUAAUUACCAUGAUAUUAAACUGUUAGAUUCAAAUUUUUAAUUUUUUAGUUUAAUUAAUUUUAUUUGGUAAUUAAUUAAUAUUUAAAUAUUUUAAUAAUUAUUAUCUUAUAAUUUUAACCUUGUUGUAUUUUGUACAUUCAAAAUAUUUUUUUAACAAAUUUAACAUUAAAUUAAAUAAUAAAAUCAUUAUCCAUAAUUAUUCAGCUUUUCAUUCACUCUCUAUAUAUAUGAGAAUUAAAAAAAUUAAAAUUUUUGAGAUAAAAUUAUUAAAAUAAAAAUUUUAAAUAUUAUCUAAAAAUAUUAAUAUAUUUAUCACACUAUUAAAAUAUUAGAUAAUAAGUUUAAAUUUAAAAGAUGAAAAUGGUAAAAUGUACAAAAUAAUUUUUAACAAAUUAAUAAUUUAAAAAACAAGAUAGCAAAGUGAUUUUUUUUUAAUUUUAAAAACUAGUAUUUUUUUAAUUUUAAAUAUUAUAUUAUUUUACUCAUAAAAAAUUACAAAAUUUUAUCAUUUUUUUUAUACCUUCUUUCAAUUUCUUAGAUAUAAUAUUUAUGUAAUAAUAAAUUUAAAUUAAUUUUACUAAAAAAUAAUAAUGAAGAUACAAUUUAUCAUUAUGUUACUUAUUUUUAUUUACUCAGCUGCAUCUUUCUUGGUUAUUUGAAUUUAAAUUGCAAAGUGGUUGAAAGAUUUUCAAUAUGAAAAGAAGUGGAUUUGCAGAAUUUUUAUAUCAAUUUGAAAUCUCAAGAUCUAUAAUACUAUAAUUUAGUUGAUGAAGUUAAUAAAAUUUGAUAUUCUAAUUAUUAUCAUUAGAAUUAUUAUUCAACAGAAAUGUAAUUAAAUCUUUAUUUCCCAACUAUUACAAAUUGCAAAAAUAAUUUUGUAUAUUAUAUUGUGAAUACUAAUUUAUAAUUAUUGAAUUUAAAUAAAAUUUAUUUUGAUAUUUAAUUUAAUAUAAAUUUAUUAAAAUUGAAGUUGUGUUAUUAUAUUUAUGUUAUAUAUGGUAAAAAAUUAUUUCUUGAAAUUUUAAUUAUUUCUAUUGAUUUCACAUUAUUCUCUAAUUUGUAGAAUGUUUUAACACUACAUAUUACUAAUAAUAAAACAAGAAAGCAAAUAAGAAGUUCCCAUUAACAUGAAAAGAUAUAAAUAUAUUCACAAUUAUAAUAUAAACAAGUAUUAUUAUCCAAUGUCUUAUAAAAAUAAUUUUUUAUUUAUUUAAAUUUAAUAGCUUUUGAUAUGUAAAAAUUUUAUGUUUCAUCUCAAAAAAUAAAACAUAUAUAUAUAUAUAUACACAUAGUUUAUGUUCCAUCAAAAUAAAACAUAAAAUAACCUAAACUAAUAUACAUUAUAUAUAUAUAUAUAUAUAUAUAUAUAUAUAUAUAUAUAUAUAUAUAUACACAUAGUUUAUGUUCCAUCAAAAUAAAACAUAAAAUAACCUAAACUAAUAUACAUUAUAUAUAUAUAUAUACACAUAGUUAAUAUUAUUUAUAAAAUAAUAAUAUAACAUAUAUAUUACUAAUUAUAUUUUAAUAUAUAAGAUAAUGAUUUAAGCAUAAAGUAUAUAAAUAUAUAUAAACUGAUGCUGCUGAAAUGAGAGCUGUGAUAUGAUUGGCUAAACUUACAAGAAAGAGAACGUGAGGUGGUUAGCGUUUAUGACAAUCACUCUGACACUUAAAUCAGUAAACUGGAGAAUAAAAUGAAUUUAGAACUUGAUAGUAACUGUAUAAGAGAAUUGUAUACCUUUAUCUAUUUGAUCGUUGACUUUUAUAUUGUAAGAGGACGGAGUUAAUUAUAGUAUUUUUUGAAAAUUUGGCUAAUGCCGGUUAACUGAUAAGAGAUCCCUUCGGCUAAGCGAUCGAUGAUCCUGUGAUUAUAGGCAUGGUGGUUUCUAGUAUUAUGUUCAGUCUUUGUGUGCGAAAGGAGACUAAGGCAGCUAUCUCGAAUGUUUUAUAGGUUUCUAGUCCUUUUAAUGGUGGUGCAUAUUUGGGUCUUAUCUCGCUUAUUGGACACAAUAAGAAAUAAGUUUUCAGCUUUAUUAAAGAUAAACUUUGGAAGAGAAUCAAUAAUUGGAAUAAUUGUUUUCUUUCAAGAGCUGGUCGAGAGGUCUUGAUUAAAUCUAUUAUCCAAGUUGUUAGGAAAACCAGAAAUUACUGCAACCCAAAUACGCAGCGAAAAAAUUAAAAAUCUUUGAUUUCUUUACCGGGAUCCGUGUGCUUCGUUUAAUUCGAAAGGAAGGAUAAGCUACUAACCUGUUAGACUCGACGAGAAGAUACAAUCUUGGACUCAAGGUGCUGUUUUUUCAACGAACACCCGCUAUGGUAUCCAUUUUGAUAAGAAAAAUCGAAAAAUAUUUUAUUUGUAAUAGUUACAGAUAGACUGUAUAUCUUUUAAAUAUUAUUAUCUCAUAAUAAUAAUUAAUAUUAAUAAUAAUAAUAUCUUUAUUAUUAUUAAUUAUACUAAUGGGCUUUUAGCUCAUUAAUAUAACACAACAACAGCAUUCUUUUAUAUGUGACCCAAUAGACUCAUAUUAAUUGGCAAUAGGCUCAGUUUCACAAGGCCCAUAAAUCAUAAGCGGCCUCUAGCAAGACAUUAUGACUACCCAAUUAAUAUGAGGAUCGAUAGUCCGAUAAAGUCUAAUAAAUAUAACAUGUAUUAAUCCCUUUGUCAGACGAUAUCUAGUUUGAACAUAAGUCAUGGACAAUGUCAAACUUAUAAUGUUCAAACUUAUGAUUUCUCGAUCUCUAAGCAGACUAAUAAAAUCAAAUGAUAUUGAUCAUACUAUCAAUUCAUUUGAGCACGGCCAUGCAUUUCUCAGUCUCAAUUAGCGAGGGGCCCAUAAGAUAUCUCUCUCAAGAAGAGGGACAAAUUCUAUCUAGAUUGUUCAAUAUCCUCUACAUAAUUUCUAUCAUGCUCAAUCAUAACCUUUAUGAUUGUCCGAUUAAAGACAAUGUUUGAUUAUGUCAAAACAUAACGGUCCUUAUGUUGGAAACUAUGACAAUCUCAAGUUAAAUGAUUAAUACAUAACUACUUUUAGAUUCACUUAUGACAGUAACCCAUAUAAUGAUCUCAAUGCGGGUCCAUCCAAUACUUUAUUCUCUAAUAAGUAUCUAUGAUUAUUGAAUUAUAUCAACAUAUACAUAAUCAUCUCAUGAUUAUCAAUCAAUAAUCAUACUAAUUAUAUUUUAUUAUUAUCAACAUAAUAAUAAGUAACCAGGGAUGUUAAUCAUUAUUAUAUAACAUGCAAACAAACAAUAAUGAUAAUAAAAAUCUCUUUUAUUAAUAAUCAAAACGACAUACAAAAAUGUCAAAGAUAAUGGCCUAGGGCAAAUACACUAACACAAGUUAUUCCAUCAUAUUGUAUGUCUGUUUUUCUCUUGCCUAAAUCACUUUGUGAGGAAUUGCAGAUUAUUAUGAAUAGAUACUAGUGGAGUAGUAAGAAAGAAGUCGGUAAAGGCAUUAAUUGGCUUUCUUGGGAACAUAUGACCAAUUUGAAGAAGGAGGGUAGAAUGAAGUUUCAGGAUCUAUAUCAUUUUAAUAUUGCUAUCUUACGCAAGUAUGGGUGACGUUUAUUGACAUAGAAAGAUACUUUGUUCUAUCGUAUUUUCAAAGCUCAAUACUUUCUGUUGGAGGAUUUUUUGAAAGCUUCUAGGGGUACUAACCCAAGCUUUAUUUGGAUAAGUACCUUUACUACCAUUAAUUUGUUAAAGAAGGGGGUUAGGUGGAGAGUGGGUAACGGAAGAAGCAUUUUUGCAAGUAGUGAUCGUUGAAUUCCGAAGCAUCCAUAAAAAUACUCCCAUCAAUAAUUUGUUAAAGAUUCCUUUGUUGCUGAAGAUGGGCGUAUUUUUAUGGAUCCAACUCUACAUGUUUCGGAUUUAAUUAUUGAUGGGAGUAGGAGGUGGAAUAUAGACAAGCUUAUAGAGAAUUUCUUUGCCCGAGAUGUAAGUGCAAUUCUUUCUAUACCUCUUAGUUUGUUUAAUGUUCAUGAUUCAUGAUGUGGUAUUAUGAAAAAAGAGGUAAUUAUUCGAUUAAAUCUGGAUAUCAUCUUAGUCGGUAAAUUGGGCAUCCUAAUGCUACUGUGGUGAAUGGAGAAUAAUGGAAGCAUAUUUGGAACUUAAAAAUUCCUCUGAAAAUUUGUGAUUUUAUAUGGUGAGUGAUGAUGAAUGUAUUGCCCACUAAACAGAAUUUGCAAAUAAGAGGGAUUAGUUUGGAUCUAGUUGCUCUUGGUGUUUUGUGAUUGAGACGGUAGAUCACAUUCUUUUACAUAGUCCAAAAGUUCUAAGCUGUCGGCAGAUAGUCAAUGUGUUUAAACUGGAUACAAAUGAUGCCUUCUCAUUUGUAUAAGUCUGGAAAUCCAUGGGAAGUGAAGUAGCUGAAUUAUAUGCUUUUGUUGUUUGGCAUAUCUGGACUUUUAGAAAUAAUUUUGUUUGGUCGGCUAAAGCUUUUAAUCCUAACCAAAUUGUGUAUGAUGUUGUCUCCCAUCUCACGGAUUGGAGAUUGUCGAAUAAACUGCAUACUGGACAGAUCCAGCCUACUCAGUCUUUUGCAGGUACAACAACGAUGAUUUCUAGUUUGAGCUCAAACAUUAAUAAUUCAAGUUGGAACUUAUUCGUGGAUGUAGCGACCUUUCAACAUUAAGGUGCUUGUGGCUUUGGAUUUGUGGUUGAAACUGCAAAAGGUGGCUAUAUGGUUUUGGUUUCAGGCUAUUAAGAGGGUAUUUGUGAACCCGCUGUUGUAGAGGUCGUGGCCUGUAGAAUGGCCGUUUUACUUGUGAUUCAAAAGUUUGAAGAUGGUGGCUAUAUCUACUCGGAUAGUCAGCUUGUAGUUAAUUGUUUGCUAUCUUCUAUUUCAGAUAAUUCUAUUUUUGGCUUAAUUAUCUAUGAUUGUAAGAUUUUGCUUUAAUCUCAUCUUAAUAUUAAAGUGCAAUGGAUUAGAAGACAGGUGAAUAGAUCAGCUCAUUCUAUUGCUAGAACCUCUAUUCGUUUCUCCCAUUAUAUUGUUUGAGAGGUGAUUUCGAAUGUAUUCAUCCUUUUUACAAUAAUUUAUAAAAUUAGUUUUUAACAUUUAAAAAGAAAUGUUGACCUAAUAAAACAACACUAAUUAUAGACAAAUACUUCCAAAAAUUUCAGUGAAUGAUACUUGCAAGUUAUAGAAAAAAUAUUUAGGUUAGGUGGGAUAAUUGCAAUUGAAGUUUUAAAAACUUGCUAAAUUAUUUAAUUAAUUAAGGACAUAUAUAUUAAGAUAUAUUCCUUAGCUAUACAAAAAGACAUUUGGUGACACUACAUAGUCCCAUCAUUUAGAGACGUUUGUAAAUCACCCCUUUAUUAUAUUAUGGAAAUGAUCAAUAAUAUUAAAUAUUUUUCUAAUUAUUACUUGUUUAAUAAUGAAAAUUUAAAAAAAUUAAUUUUUUCUCGUUUAUUUACUCUCUCUAAAUAUUAAUAUUUUAAUCUAAAUAUUAAAUUAAAGUUGUUACUAAAUAGAAUAUAAAAUUUUAAUUUUGUCAUCAAAAUUAAUAAAUAAAUCAUCAGAGAUGGUGUAAUAAGACAAGAGCGGUGGCUUAUAGAGGCAGCCAACUCGUAGAUGUGGCAGCCCUUGGUAGUUGGCAGGACGGGACCUUAUUAUUCCAGUCAAUAAAGCAACACGAUGGCCUCUCGCUGCAUUAAACAUUCACACGUGCUUGUCGUUUUGUCUGUAUUUUUGCAAUAAUAUUUCUACAUAUUAUUAUUAUUAUUAUUAUUAUUAUUAUUAUUAUUAUUAUUAUUAUUAUUAUUAUUAUUAUUAUUAUUAUUCAAAUUCUUAUCGUUUUAUAUCUAAAUGUAUACAUUAUGUCAAUAUUAUAUUUAAAAACAAUUAUUAUAAAAAAUUGUAAAUUUUACUCACUUUAUUCAUAAGUAAUUUCCAAUGAACAAUACCACAAAAAAUAAUCGUACCAUCGAUUACUAUCACCGACGUUUAGUAAAAAUAUGCUUAAAAUUGAGACAUACAUACUAAAAUGGAACAAAAGCCGAAAAACGGGAAUGACAAUUUUUUUUAAAAUAGAAAUUAAAAAUUAAAAAAAUAAAAUUUAAAAUUUUUUAAAUUUAUUUAAAUAUAUUUAUUAUUAUAUUAAAUUUAUAAGUACGUGAAUAAUAGUUAUUAUAUGUGUAAAGUUAUAUUACAAUUAUUGAUUUUAGUGAAUAUUAUAUGAAUAUGUACCAAUCAUGUUGUCAUAUCAUGUGGCGUAAUUUGCAUCAUAGUCCUUUGACUUUUCUCUCUUGUUUCUCUGUUCCAAGCACUGUUGCUCGUUAUCUCUUUUGAUUUUGCAAUGGCGAGCAGUAAUUGGUGGGCCUCAUGGUUGUUCACUUGAUGAGGCAAUGUUUGGCGGCUAGUGAAAGGAGCGUGUAUCAAGGAAUUCGAAUUGCUUUCCAAUUUUUCCACCAGAAUGAUGUUGACGGAAUCUGAAAAGGCAGGCUAUGCACAUUUGAUCAAAUCAUAACUUUCUAUAGUCUUGAAAUUUUAAGGGUUGAUGAAGCAAUUAUAUGUGACUUGGGGGGUCAAUUGAAAUAACUAGUAUCCAAUAAAAUCAAACUUUACUUUUCUAAUGGGACAAAAUUAAUAAUAGAUUUAAAAUAAUAACUCUAAAUUAUUACCGUUGUAUGUACUUAAAAGUGCAAUUAUCCAUCUCUACCACUAUAUGUAGAGUAGCAGUUUACAUUUUCAGGAAAAGAAAUAUUACUCCUAAAAAGUUAUAAUUCUACUAAAAUUAUAAUUUUAUUAAAUAUAUAAUAAAUUAUUUAUUAAAAUAUAAUAUUAUUAUAUAGUUAAAAAAUUAAAUUUUUUUAAUAAUUACGUAAUAAUGAGACUGAUUCCACAGACUUGGUUAGAAACAGAUAAACAGCAGCUUGGCUUUGAAGGUGCUUUUGCAGUAUGGUAGUUGAUCGUGGAGAAAGGAUAGCUUUGCUAUGGAGUCAUAAGGGCAUUGCCGAUCUUCAAAGUUUCUCUAAUUGUCGUAAUAAUGUCACUAUUUUUAAAAUAUUUUUAAAAUAUAAUCAAAUGAAUUUUUAAAUUAAUUUAAUUUAAUUGAUUUUUUUUAUAAUUAUAUAUUUAUAAUGUAGAUCGAAUUUAAAUAAAAAAAUUAUUUUAAAUAAUUGGAUUCUAGGGCUAUCCUGAAAGAAGUCGUGGCGGAUUAGUUAGAAGUGAAACGUUAAGUAGUGGGAUAGAGAUAGAUAGGGUUACAUUAUUGUGUUGAUUAGUUAGAAGAAUGACGGAAGCAUUUAGGCCCAAUCACAACUGCCAUGAAACUACAUAACACUUUAAUUUAUAAUAUAUAUAUAAAAAUAUUUUUUUAAAAGAAGAAGACGUGAGCAGAGCUAUGUACCCAACCAUCCAUUUACCGACCGACAAAAAACGUUGUCAUAUCUCAGUCGUUGCUGCCUCGUUAGCUGAUUGUCUUUGCCACGUGGCUUUAUUCCAAGAGUUUUUAAUUUCAUAAAUGUAUCAAUUUAAAAAAAAAUCUAUUUGAAUAUGUAUAAAUCUAAAGUACGUAUAUACUAAGUGUUUAUUAAUAUCUAAAAUUCAUAAACUUAAAUUUAAUCAAUUAUUUCAAAAAAUUUUGAAUGGAGACAUGAUCAAAUUAUUUUAAUUGACUUUUCUCUCAUUUAUUCUCUAAUAUACAUAAUCAUAUUCAAUUUAUUUUAUUAUUAUACAAAAUAUAUAUUUUUUUAAACCUAAGAUUCCUAAAAUUUACAUGUAUUCGGAUAAAUAUGAAUAUUUAUUUUUUAUAGAAUUAAAAAAAUAAAUUUAAACUAGCAAAGAAGAUAAUUUAUACUACCAUAAUAGGCUAAAUAAACUAUUCUAUGUAAAAUAAAUAAAUAAAUAUUAUAUGGGGUGACACUUUUUAAUAUUAUAUUAUAUAGGUGAAUAAUAUUUAAUUUAAAUUAUAAAAUCAAUUAAAUUGAAUUAAUUUAAAAUUUUGAUUCGGUUUAAUUUUUAAUUUUAAAAAUUUUAAUUAUUUUUAAUAAUUUAAUUUUAAUUAAAAAAAUUAAAAAUAUUAAGAUUAACAGAUUAGUGAUAAUAAGUGAUAAUAAUAUAUUAUUUUGAAUAAUAUAAAGAUUAAACUAUAUAAAAUAUUUUAAUUAAAUUUUAACAUACUAAAAUUAAAAUAUAAAAAAUAAAAAAUUUAUUAAAAAAUCAAACCAAUCAAAUUAAAUCAAAUUAAAUUGAUUUAAUUUUUAUAAAUAUUAAAUUUUUAAUUUUUAUUUUAUUCAAUUAAAUUUAAUUUUAAAUCAAAUCUGAAAUGAUAACCUCAUAUCAUAACGUCAUCUAAUAAUAAAAUUAUGAUUUUACACUAUUGAGACUUUCUAAUAAUUUUUUCAGUCAUUUAAAUUUUAAUAGUUUNNNNNNNNNNNNNNNNNNNNNNNNNNNNNNNNNNNNNNNNNNNNNNNNNNNNNNNNNNNNNNNNNNNNNNNNNNNNNNNNNNNNNNUAAGAAGGAGGUUAAAAAUAAAAUAGAAAAUUUUCAUUUAAGUUUAAAUUAACAGUUAUAAUCAAUUGUAAUUUAUUAAUAUAUAAAUUUGAAAUAACUAAUUUUUUAAUUUAUACUUUUCCUAAGACAAUCAAAUUAUAAUGUUUUAUUCUUCCAUUAUAUACAUUAUAAAUUAUUAGAAACUAAUAGAAAAUUUGAAGAGUUAUAAUUUAACAAAAAUUAUAAAUUUACUACGUUAAUUUAAGAUUUUUAUAAAUAUUUUGUAAGACUAAUAAAACUCAUGAGUUAUUUAAUAAAAAAAUCAAAUAUUAUUAUAUUUAACCUCCAUUUAUUCAGGAAAAAUAAUUUAUAUUUAAAAAAUAAUUUUUACAAAAAAUAUUUUCUGUAAAAAAAUUUUCAUCAAAAAUAUUUUUCAACAACAUAAUUUAUUUUUUAUUAUUUAAUUUUAAUUUAAAAAGUAAAAUUUAUUAAUAAAUUUAUAUAUAAAGAUUUUAAUAAAAAUAUCAACACGUAAAAUAUGAGUGAUGGUUUAUUUUUUUUAUUAAUAAAAUAUUUUUUAUUGAUUAGAAUUUUUUAAUGUUUUAAACACUAAAGAAUUGAUGAUAUAUAUAAAAUUAUAAGCACUCCAAAGUUUAGCCUGGUGGAAAGUGCAUACUGUAGUCUUGAAAGAUCUAAAAUUCGACUCCCAAAUCCCUAUUUCAAAAAAAAUAUAUAAAAUUAUAAAAAUUAAAUUAUGAAUAAAAUGAAUGAAUUCUGCUGUAUAUAGAUUAAUUUAUUGAUUUUUAAAUAUUUUUUUAAAAAAUACACUAGAUAACUUAUCUUUAAAAAUAUAAUUUACUAAACUACAGCAAAAUUUUCUAUCACUGAUAAUUUAUCCAUUAUAUUAUUAGUAUUAAAACUCUUCGGAAAAUGUAAAAUUUCAAAUAUUAAAAGGUCAGAGACCAUGGCAGGGAUGGAGUUAAAGGUGAUGGGUUGCUGCUCUUAAAAUUUAAUUUUUAAAUAAAAAUAUAUUAAAUAUAAAUUUAUUUUUAAUAUAUUAUUGCAUCUAAUUUUACUCAUUAAAAAAAUAGAAAGUUAACAUUUUUAUCCGCACUAUAUUGUAAGACUUUGAAAGUUACAAUAUAAAUUAUUUUUUUUUUGAAGUCAACAAUAUAAAUUAUUAAAACUAAUAAUUUCAAAUUUAGUUUAUUACAUUAUUUAAAGCCUAAACAAAUUAUUUAUUAUAUUAUUUUGAAAGUCUAAUUAUUUUGAAAUAAUUGUAAGCAAUUGUUUCAUAUAUAUAAAACUACAUGAGUAAUUAUUUUAGUUAGAAAUCAGAAAUUUAAAUACCAAUAUACAUAUAGUAUUCAAUGAAAAGGUUGAAUAUAGCAUGCUGAUAAAAAGAAAGUUAAAAGAUAUUGUAAUUUAACAUGAAAAAAAUAUUUCCCAUGAAGGGAAAAUUUUAUAUUUUACUUCCUCUCGGUACUUGAAAUCAAAAAAUUUACAAAAAUUGAAUUUAAGUUUAAAUUAUUUGAGAUUAAGUUUCAUCUUAUUAAUUUUAAUGGUGAAAAAUUUGGAAUUUUUUUAUUUUUUAUCAUUAAACUCCAAAAUAAAAAAUAAAGUAUAUUUUUUUAAACGGUAUAAAUAAUAUUUUAAUUUUUGACCACCUAAAGAAAUAUUUUAAACCGUUGAAAAUGGCCUUGGAAAAAUAGAUAUAAAAACCCAUUUGAAAUGAAUGGAAAGCUUAAUGCUCUCCGUUCUAUUGCGAAAGGUGAGUCCUUAUCUCUUUUCCUAUAUUUUGACUCUUUAAGCUCAUUUCAACAAAUUUUGAAGGAUUUUAUUUUAUAUUUUAAAGAUUUAAGAAGUUUUAGGCGCUAAGGAUCUUUAAACAAAGGUUGCCAUUCUUCUCCAUUCUUUUAUUCAAUAUUUGCCUAAGAGGCAAAUCUCAAGUCACAAGCUUUAGAUUUUAAGUCUUAAAGGUUUGAGGGUAUAGUUAUGAUUUUGCAUGUGGAAAUAAAUAUAAGGAUAGAUGUGCUUUUAGUGUUGAGGAGAUUAUGAGCUUUAAGUUUUUGUUUGUUUUUUCAUCUUAAUUUUCUUUGAAUGUAGGGUUGAAUGGGAUAAUUGAAUUUUCUAAAUGUUUGAUGUAUUGGCUAGAGUACAAUGUAUUUGGAUUUGAGUUUAAACUUUUGAUUUUGGAACUUGCAUGCUCCUAGUAAGCAAGAUUGAGUCUUUUGAUAAAUAUAAGUAUUAUCUUUGCAUCCUAGUUUUAUUAUGAUCUUUAUGUAAUGUAAGUUAACGGUUUAUGUUUUUUAAACUUAAUGGCAUGCAUGAAUGCAUCUACAAAGUAUUUAAUGAGCGAUUUUUAUAUAAUGAUUUAUUAUUAUGUUUUUGAAACAUGCUCAAUAUUUAAAAUUUUUGUGUUUUUAUGAUGAGAUCACUGGGAUAUUAUUUUAAACAGGAUUUAAGUAUGGAUUUGCUAUAGAUUCUAGCGAUCUUAAGUCAACAUAAACCCUAAAGCCAAAUUCUAAUUUCAAGUUGUUACAAUAUUAAUUAUUGUUUAGACCUAUGAUGUUCAUUUAGAUGAAUGUCUGCAGCCACUGGGAGGAUAAAUUGUUGUGAUGAUUAGAAGGCUAGUGGAAGUGGAUGAAGGAGAUGGAUUAGGAUACCUUCACUUUAUGUUAUCUUACCAGACCUCUAAUGGAGGGGGAUUUAAUGAUAUUUGAGUUAAGAAAUGUCUCCUAAAUUAGGCUAAAGAGAGGUUACCUUCUUUUUAUUUUUGAUGUGGGUGCUUGGGACAUUGUUUUAUGGACUAUGCUAAAAAGGAUGGCUUAUCAUCAGCACAAUAUAGUGAUUAGUUAACAAUGUUCCCAAAGAAGGUGUUUCAACUAUGGAAUUCUAUUGAGAAAGAAAAGGAAGAGCGACUUAUUUUGGAGUUGAGUAAAGCUGAAUUACAUGAGUCUAUAAGAAGUAUUUGUAGUUAAUCAAAUUUUGGUCAUAAAAUUGUUGUCACUUAUGCACAUUCUUCAAUAGAGGUGUUAAAUGAAUUGAAUAAUGAUGGGUUGUCACAGCCUAUGUGUGAGAGGGUGUAGUUGGUUUUCUAACAUGGGAUUACAUGGUUUACAAAAAGAUGUGUCUACUUAGGAGUUAGAUCUAGGUUUGCAUGAGGUAACAAUGACCACAAUUCAUUUACUAAUCUAUAUGUGUCUUUGCAUGGUGAUGCACUAUAUAUUUUGCCUAGUUAAGGUGGUACAAGUUAUCCGUACCUAAGGUUGUUAUACAAAGGAGUACGAGUUCUAAGAAGGAUUCCUAUAAAUGGAUUAAGUAGAAGUAGGUACAUGAUUUGAUGUUCUUUUGUAAGACAUGCACUUAACUCAUAAACGAGGUUUAUUUGGCAAUAAUAAUAUAAUGUGAAGGUACUAUGUAUUAAUUAAAAAGAAAAAUACAAAAAAGUACUAUGUGGUUUCACUCAUUUUCUUUUCAAGGUCUGUAAUUUAAUUUGUGUCAAAAUAGUACAUUUGGUAUUAUGCCAUUAGUAAAUAGCGGUAAUUUUCUGACGCCGUCAAGAAAUACUGAUCUAACAAGUAAAAUAUAUUUGUUAAUUAAAAAUAGAAAGUAUAAAUAAGUAUAAUGUGGUUUCACUUAUUUUCAUUUUCAAGUCUGUAGUUCAAUUUGUGUUAAAUUAGUACCUCCUGAUAUGAUUUUCAUAUUAACAUUUGUAAUGAUGUCUAAAAAUUGCCGCUAUUUGCUAAUAGCGUGACACAAUUGCCGCUAUUUAUUAAUAGCGUGAUAUCAUAUGUAUUAUUUUAAUACAUAUUAAACCAUAUACCUUGAAGUGAAGAAUCAAUAAAAUCAUAGGGUACCUUUUUAUACUUUUAGCUCAAUUUGGUUUUUAUUAAUAUAAUAUCUAGUUCACAUGCAACAAUUUUUUUUUUUUUGAAAAUUCCACCUUCAUUCAUUGGAAGGUAGUGCACUUGACAGAUGCUAUACUAGUAUAAUUUGCUUGUGAUUGAAGAUAAUACUUGUUAGGACUCUAAUUCAGGAGCUACGUGAUACAAGCAGCUUGGAAACUACCACUUACGAGAAUUGUAAAAAUGCAUUAAGAUGCAAUGAUAAAAACAUAAGUCAAAGUAUUGUAUUUUAGGAUAAUAAGGGAGACUUUUAGCUAGUUGUAUUAAGAGGCUAAGCAAGAGUUGGGAGUCUUAUACAUCUAGGGCGUUGGCUAUUAUUUUCAUAUUACAACUAGCUUUAGAUUUAUCCUUUGCUUCUCUAGAUGUGGAAUCAGAUUGUAAGUUUGUUGUGAUAUUUGUGAGGGUGCUCCAUUUCAUAUGGGUUUGGAGAUCUAUUGGAUUAUCUUGCUUUGAAGUCGAGGUUCUGAUGCUAUUUAUGGUCCUUCUCUUUGCAUUGUUGCAACGAGUUAGGUCAUGCUUUAGUUAUGUUUGCUAUAGCUAAUGAUUCUUUUUUUUAAUUUUGGAUAGAGAAAAUUCCCUUCCUAUUGUCUUGGCUUGUAAAUGUUGAUAUCUCUGCUUUGACUUCUUAAUAUAUUUAUACUAGAUUACUGUCCGCGUUGUGCCACGAUGAUUUAAAUAAAGUAUGAAUAUUGGCUAUAUGCGCAAUGAGACAAUAAAUUUUAGCAGAUGGCAUUUGAUAAUUCAUAUGGUAAUUAUUUAUAUAGGCAAUAUAAUAAACACACAUGAGUAUAAACAUAUCAAUUAAAAAAUUGUUAAUAAGUUAUUAAAUAUUAAUUAAUAUAUAAAAUAUAAAUAAUUAUUUUCUAAUAAAAUUUAAUAUUUCUUAUUAAUUACAUCCUUAUUGUAUUAGUAGUUAAAAUUAGAAUCAUAAAAAGUUUUAAUUUUUUUAAAGUGAGCAAAAUUAAAUUAUUUAAUUUUUAUUUCUAUACUAAGAAUCAUUAACGAAAUCUUAAUUAAAAUCUCAACAAAAUGAUCAAACAAAUAAAAUAUAGAGAUUGAUGAUCUGAGAUCCAAAGAAUAGGGUUUUACAAGGGUACUGUAAAAUUGGAAAAAAACUUAGACCUAGGAGAGAGUAUUUCUCCUCUUAUAUGUUCUCUUUUGUUCGCUAGUGACGUGUAACAGAAUGCAUGCCAUUGGGCCACCUGUCCCUGUCACGUUGAUUUGGACGUACGAGAAAAUCAGAUCACUGCCCCAUGCGUAACGGCCUCUGAUUCUCCCGGACGCGCGUGUGGGUGGUCCCACGUGAAGGAUAAGCUGGUCUUCUUCCUGAUUCCGGGCUGGAUCAGAAGAUAUGAUGUGGGCUGAGCUCAAAGAGGAUUGGUUCAUCGAACCCAAAGAGCUAGGCUGGCCCGAUUGAGCAAAUGGGUCGUAGUCUGGUUCUCAGGCUGAGCGGCCUGGACUUGAUGGGCGUAUUAGGCUUGAGAGUCUCUUAGAUAAUGGGCUGAUAUCGUGGGUUUGGCCUCAAACCGGGGUGCAGAAACCCAAUGGUCAUCAGAGAUAAUAAAACUAUACAUCUGCAUACAUAUAUUGCAAGUCAUCCUACAUUUAUAUAAAUAACCAAAUCUAGACUGUCAGUAGGAAUACAUAUAGGUUAUUAGGAAGAAAAAAACUUCUUUAUGAAGCACGGCUAUCAACUAUAAAAUUAUUGAUGAGCCAUGACUCUAUAAUUAUAAUCUUCCACAUCAAAUUGUUAAAGCACUCUCAAAUAAUCAAUUGUUUACAUUGAAGCUUUAUAUGUGGCACUUUGAGCAUCAACAAUGCUAAUACCAACUCUCUUCAAAACGAAACUAGCCCCUUCUACUCUGUGUGAGGAAAAGCUACACUAAUAACAUAAACACUUGACUGGUGAAGUUUCGGUGUGAAAGUAGGGUUCUGGUAAGCUAAGUUGACACAAUAUUUGAAGCAAUAUCUCAUCGCAUGAAAUCUUAACAAAUAUUAUCUAAUAAAAAAGAGCAAAAAGUUUAUAACCAAUGAAAAUAAAUAAAAUGAUAUAAAUAAUUAGUAAAUAUAUUCAUUUUAAAUUUUAAUUGAUUUAAUUAAAGCUUAGUUAGUAAAUGUGUUUAGUUUAAAUUUUAAAUUGAUUAAAUUACAAUAAAACAUCAGUAAAUUCAUAACCAAAUAGAAAUGAAAAAAAAAAGAACAUGAAUUAAUUAAUAAAUAUGAUAACGUAUAAGGUAUUUUGUCCUUAAAAAGAAGUCGAUAACACAUUAAGUUCAUAUUUCUCAACAGAUAACAAUUAAGAAGGGAUUAAUGAAAAGAGGUGUAAUAGCAAAGAGUAGGAGUAGUCCAUUCAAUAUACUGAUCAAGUAAUCCAAUAAAAAAUAAUAAACGUGCUCAGCAAAGACAAGCCACCAUUUACAACAAAUGUUCACCAAAAAAUAAUAGUGGUAAUAACUAAAUAAUAACCAUAAUCAAAUACGAAUUAAUAAACUAUUACCGCAAUAUCCUAGAACAAUCACUUCAAUUUUUAAAAUAUUGAAAUCGAAAAGAAUAAAAGUAAUAAAAAAAAUUAAAUAAAAUUAAUGAUAAAUGAUAUUUAAUAAUUUAUUAUUGAAUUAUUAGACAAAGCAUGAAAAAUAUAUGUAUAUAACAAUAUGAGUGCUGGAAUUAUAAAAUAAAACACAAACGACUUCUUUAAAAAUCGAUGAGCUUGUCACAAUUAUUUUUAUAAAUUUAAAAAAAAAAACAUAAAAAAAUUUUUUAAAAUAAGAAUAGAUGGGAAUAAUGAAGUGAAUGCAUCACAUAUAUGACCACAACACAAAAACAAGAAGACGAUGCAACACAAUUAUAUAUAGUAAAUUUAGUUGAAAUAUAUGACACCAUUUUAAACUAGAAUCAAAUAUAAUGUAAAAAAAAAGACAUCAUUUUCAGAUAUAAAUCAAUAAUCAUUUAAUCGCACGACACCAGUUUAAGCAUUAUUUACCUUUAAAGAAAAAUAAAGAAAGAAACUUCAUGUUUGCCUUAAAGAAACGAAACAUCACCUUCAGGAGGCGGAGAGAAGGUACGGCAACGGGGCACGUGCCGUACCGGCGACCAAAAAAUACUUUGAAGGGAGAUGAAAGUGCCGCAGCGGCGCAGCCGGUGUCCUACCAAAGGGAACGGCUUGGCUCCGCCACUGAUCACCUUGGACUCAAAUUAAAAAAAAAAAAAAAAAAACAAAGAAUAAGAAAAAAAUGCACCCGUUUAAAGACAAUUCAAACGAUGACAUUUGAAGCGGUGACAUUGUCUAGUAGAUAAAGACAAAUGAGAAAAGGAUAAGUAACUCUAAGGUUAUCAGGAAGACCUUCACGGUAAAAGAGGCUUUAUCAGUAAGUCAAUCAGUACACAUAUUGGCUUUACAAAAAGAUAAGAUCAACGUGGACAUUUCAAUUUUUGCUGAGUAUAUUAUCUUCAUUUAGAAUAAAGAUUUUACAAGAAUUAAAUUUAAUUCAUUUCAUUCUAUUACAUUUUGUGUUUGAAAUAUAAAAAAAAAACUUUUAUUUAAAAAAAAAAAACUAUACAUAAUUUUGUUAGAAUUUAUUUAUUUAUUUUUUAAAUAAAUUAAGUCAAAUAGAGAAAUUAUGAAUAUCGGAAAAGAGAGACUUAAGAUAAGCAGAAGGAAGAUAAUUCUGUUUAUAUAAUCCACUGCCACAUCGUGAUACCUUUUAUAAUAUUGAAAUAAGAUAUUUAUAUUAUCCAUUUUAUAAUAUUGAAAUUAAAUAUUUAUAUAAUUAUUGAAUUUUGCAUGACCAAAUAAUAGGAUAACCUUCUCAAAUUAUUGGGUAUUUUAAUUAAAAAAUUUUAAAUUAUUGAGCUCGUUCAAGUAACAUGCUGUGUCUCACAUAAAAUUUUGAACUAGAAUUCUUAAUUUUGAGAUUGAUUCGGUUUCAAUUUUAAAUCAAAUCAAAUUGAAUAAAGUAAAAAUUAAAGUUUUAACAUUUAUAAAAAUUAAAUCGAAUCAAUUUUAAAAUAGAAAUUAAUUUGAAUUAAAUUGAUCUGAUUCGAUUUGGUUCGAUUUAAUUAAUUUAAUUUUUAAAUAAACUUUUUAUUUUUUACUUUUUAUUUUUAAUACUUUAAAAUUUAAUUAAAAUAUUUUAAUUUUGAUAAUUGUAUAAUCUCUAUAUUAUAAAAAAUAAUAUAUUAUUAUCAUUAACGGAUAUAAUUUAAUUUGUUUGAUUUUUUUUUUCAUAUUAAAAUUGAAUCAAAUUGAAAUAAUUAAAAUUUUAAAUGGAAAAUUAAAUCAAACUAAAAUUUUUAAUUAAUUUAAUUCGAUCGAUUUUUUUUUAUUUGAAUUAAAUAUUACUAAUCUGUAACUGGGAUUUUCUUUUUUUUUAAAAAAAAAAAAAGAAGGUUUUACACUUUUUGAAAAAUCAACAACGAUAGGCAAUGCUUAAAUUAUAAUGUAGCAAUUUGAAAUAAGUUAUGAAAAAUAAUGGCAAAAACCAAAUGAUUGAAAUCUAACUGUCAACUCAAACAUGCACAACUUCUACUAUUCUCCCAAAAAAAAUAAUUUCUUAAUUUCAAUUGUCUUCCCAUUGCUUGCUUUUAGGAAAUUUCAUAUAUCACGUGGUCGGCUUGCUUCAUAUUCGGAUCAUAUAUAUAUAAUAUUAUCUAAAUCAUCAAAGAAAUUUCCUUGAUCCAUACAUGUGAAGACUCGUGGCAUUAUGUGAUUUUAUCAAUAUCAUCUAAUAAAAGAAUUAGGUAAAUUAAAUCUUAUUUAUUUAAUGACCUAAUUAAUUAGUUGACUAAUUUGUUAAGAGAUAAUUGCAUGAUAACCAUUGCGCAUGAUAAGGUGAGAAGUAUACAAUUUAAAUUAAAAAAAUCAAUCCAAGCGAAUUAUUUUAAAAUUUUAAUUUAAUUUUUUAUUUAUUUUGAUUCGAUUCGAUUUUUAAUUUUAAAAUUUUUAAUUAUUUUGAUUCGAUUUGAUUUUAAUAAAAAAAAUUAUAAAAAUCGAAUCAAACUGAUUAAUGAUAAUAAUAUAUUAUUUUCAAUAAUAUAAAAAGAUUAUAUCAUAUCAAGAUUAAAAUAUUUUAAUUAAAUUUUAAAAUAUUAAAAAUAAAAUAUAAAAAUUAAAAAUUUAUUAAAAAUUUAAACCGAUCAAAUCAAAUCAAACUGAAUUAAAUUGAUUUAAUUCGAUUUGAUCUCUAAUCAAAAUGAAUUUGAUUCAAUUUUUAUAAUAUUAAAAUUUUAAUUUUUAAUUUAUUCAAUUUGAUUUAAUUUAAAUUAAAUCAACCGAAUAUUCACCCUAACGCAUAAAUCAAUUUACUAUCCUCAUGAUUUUACUCUUUCUUUGAAAAUAAAAAACAAAGUUGUUUAUAUUUUUUAAAAUUUAGACCACGCUCAUAAAAAUUAUCAAUAAGUGUUUUUAAUUGAAAAAAUUUAAUUAUUUUAAUUGAAAUUAAAAUUAAUUCAUUGUUUAAUUCUUGAAAUUGAUGUUAGAAAAAUCAAUCCUCCAAAGAGCAUACCAAAAUUGAAAAGUUUUAUUAUAAUAUAAAAGUUUCCUAAUCAAUUUCCUUAAAAAGGCAAGUGGUCUUCAAAUUAGGUAAUAGAAGGAAUGAGAUCUAAUGGUAAUUUUAUCAAUUAAUGAGUAUAAUUUUAAAGGGUAAAAUUUAUAAUUUAAUUUUUAUUAUUUUAAUAUUAAAUAAUUUAAUCUCUAAAAUUUCAUUUUAUUAAUAAAAUAUUCUCUUUUAAUUUACUAUUAAAUUAAAUAAUCUAAUCAUUUUAAUUUUAAUAAUUUGUAAUAAAUUAUUUUUAUAAUUUUAAAGUUUAUAAUAAUUUAAUUUUUUUAAUUUAAAUUAAUUUUUUCGAUUAAUAAUUAAUUGAGGGUAAAUUUGUAAAAUGUUAACUUGUGCGAUUAAAAUAAAGCCAUACAUCCCCCUAAGGCUAAGAUCAAUUUAAGGAGAAGACGUGCCAUGCAUAAUCCUCACAGUCAAGAAUGUCACAUGCAUUAAUUGUUGUCUUGGGCUAAUAAUUCCUUGCACAUUUCACGUCAAAAAAAAAAGUUAUCGCAAUUUUUUAUUCCUAGGAACUUUACGGCCAGGUAAUGAUUAAAACUCAACUGGUCAGAUGAAUUAUAUGAGUAUUUUUUUUUUAAAGAAAUUAAAAUUAUUGGGUUUUUCUGAGUAAUAAAAAAUUAAUUAAAUAAUUAUAUAGAUUUGCUAAAUGUUGGGUUUUUUUAUUUUUUAUUUAUUUUUUCUCCUUCAAUUGUACUCUAAAGUUAACUUUUAGAUAUAAUUUUAUUUGAAAAUAAAUUUAAUAGAGAAAGUUUUAAUGUAUCCAACUCAUAGUAUUGACAUUUUAUAUACAACUUAUUAUACUCUUUUAAUUAAUAUUGUUGGACUUAUCCGUAAACUAACUUGUUGAAAAUUUUUAGUAGAUAAUAAUUACGUAAUUUAAGGCAUGCACAUGCUCUCAUAAUUUCAAUUAUUUUUUAAAAAAAAUUACUAUUUAAUAAUUAAUAUCAAAUUAUUUUGAAAAUAAAAUAAAAUUAUAAUGGUCAAUUUAUAUAUUAUUUAUAUUUUAAAAAAAUAAAUAAUAAUUUUAAGAUAAUAAAAAUAAUAUGAUAAAAUUAUGUGACGAGAAAAUUAUAUAUAAAAUUAAAUUUAUAAUUAUUUAAUAAUUUUAUCUAUUAAUUUUAUCUCUCACACGAUUGAGAGAGAAAUAGAGAAACGGGAAGGAGAUGAAUAGAUAAGUAUGAAGAAUGAAAUAUAAAAUUGAGUGAUGGGAUUGUAAAUAACAGUAUUAUUAAGAAUUAAAUAGUAAUUUAACUAUAAAAUUAAUGACAAAAUAGAUGCUAAACCUUCAUUCGUUACAAAAUUGGUUAAAAUAUUUUUUCAUUAAAGGAAAAUUUAAGUGUUUUUAAAGAAAAUAAUUUUAUUUUUAAAAAAGAAAGUUAUUUAAAAUAAAGCAUGAAGGAUUAAAUAAAGAAUCGAGUGAUAAAAUUAUAAAUAAUAGUAAUAUUUAAAAAUUAAAUAGGAAUUUAAUUAUAAAAAUUAAUGAAAAAAUAGAUGUUAAACCUUCAUUUAUUUGCUGAAAAUUAAAAAUAUAUAUAUAUUUCUAUUUUUAUUUUUUAACAUGUGCAACGCUCAAUAAAACUAUUAUAUAUAAAUUUAUUAAUAUUUUUUAUUUUUAAAUCACAAUUAAAAGUUGAAAAGUAAAUUAUUUUCUAUGAAAAUGUUUUACAUGAAAAUGUUUUCUUUAGAACAUAUUUUUUAGAAAAAAAAAUAUUUUUAAAAUCUAAGUUAUUUUUUUAACAAACAGUGUUGUUAAAACUAAAUUGUUAACGUGGUUAAAAUGGAAUUUUAUUGUGAUUGGUUCAACGGAGUUAUGUUGUGAUUGGUCCAUCUGCAAGACAGAGAAUAUGAGGUGGUUGACAUUUGCGGUAGCAACUCUGACGCUGAGUCAGUGAGUCGAAGAGAAGGGUGAGUAUAAUGUUUAGAACUUAUGAGUAGUUAUGUAAGAGAAUAACGUAUAUUUAUCUUUAUAAUCACUCGCUUUUAUACUAUAAAAGGGAGUUAAUUACAGUAUUUCUUGAUAAUCCGCAAUGAUAUGACCAGCUAAUUAACGAGGAGUCUUACCGGCUAAUCAGCCGGGAAUCCCAUGAUUACAAACCUAAUGAAAAUCUUUUAGAUUACCUCUAAUUGUAACUUAAUGUGAAAACUCAGUCUGCUCUGAAAUGAGCGAGUCUUGAUGAAGAGCUGGGCAUCUUGGUUGUCUAGGCCUUCCGCUCUUCAGGUGGGAUCGCGCAUCCAAUUAUUAGACUCUUGCCACAUGGCAAUCUCUUAUGGUGACAACUCAUGGCCUACAUUGGGUGAUUGUUGUAUAAUAUCAGAGGUCUUCCCGCUGGUCUUCAAUUCUUCAUAUUCGAAGAAGAAAUGUGUCAUGGACCUAGAGUGCAAAUCACACUGACUGUCACGAGUGCGGUCUUUAGUUCGUCAAACCAAGUCGGCCUUUACUCGGGCUAAGCACACGGUAUCCUUGCUUUCUUCUUACUUGCCCUGCUGACCAGUCUGGUCCAAGAUCUUGUCCAACAAAAGUUGAUCCGAGUAAAUAUUGUCUGGCGAAAAUUGAUCCGAGUGAUACAGUAAUGCCUUAACAAGUUUACGGGCUCUCUCUAGCAUCAACCAGCCAUGGGUUUCAUUUGGGCAUUUCUCAACCUUGACGAGCUUUCGGGCAUUAUCUAGCCCUUGCGAGCUCCUUGCCCUUUUCCAGCCCUAUCCAACUUCCGAGCAUUUUUCAGCCCUGGCGUACUUUCGAGCAUUUUCUCGCCCUGACGAGCUUCUAGUAAUUUUUCAGCCUUAUGGAUUUCACUCGAGCUUCCUGGCAUUUUUCAGUCCUAUCGAUCUUUCGGGCAUUCGCUGACCCUAACGAGUUUUCAAGCAUUUUUCCAGCCCUAUCAAGCUUCCUGGCAUUUUUCAGCCCUAUCGAGCUUCCGGGCAUUCUCUAACCUUGAUAUAUUUCCAGGCAUUUUCCUUGCCUUGUCGAACUUUCGGGUAUUCUCUAGCCCUAAUAUGCUUUUAGGCAUUUUGCUUGCCCUGUCGAGCUUUCGGGCAUUCUCUAGCCCUGACGUGCUUCCAGGCAUUUUUCUUGCCCUGUCAAGCUUCCGAGCAUUCUCUAACCUUGACGUGCUUCUAGGUAUUUUUCGGUCCUGGCAUACUUUCAUGCAUUUUUCAGUCCUGGCAUAUUUCCGAGAAUUUUCCUUGUCCUAUCGAGCUAGCCUUGACUAGCUUUCGAGCAUUUUCCUUACCCUAUCGAGCUUCCGGGCAUUUUCUUGCCCUAUCGAGCUUCAGGGCAUUUUCUAGCCCUUGCGAGCUCCACUUAUUCGCUUAGCAGUCCAUCUUCGCCAAUCGUCAAAAAGUCUCGCCCGCCUACAAUGGGUCUUCUUCCUUGGCAAAAAGUUUGAAUUUUUUAGAGUGAUUGUAAGAGCAUUGUCAAAUGCCUUGGAGACUUCUUAUGAAGCAGGACAAUCACCUGAUCGAUCGGCCUAGCAUAUACUCGCCUUGUGGUCGAGUAUCAAAUACCUUAAAAACUUUUUGUGAAGCAGGACUAUCACCCAGUUGGUCGACCUGGUGUAUACCCGCCUUGUGGCCUAAUAUCAAAUGCCCUAGAAACUUUUUGCGAAGCAGGACUAUCACCCGAUUGGUUGGUCUGGCGUAUAUCCACCUUGUGUCUUAGUAUAAAAUGCCCUACAUAUUUUUUUGUGAAGUGGAACUUUCACCCAGUUGGUUGGUCUGGCAUAUACCUGCCUUGUGGCCUGUCAUAAAAUGCCUUAGAAACUUUUUAUGAAGCGGGACUAUCACCCGGUUGGUCGCCCUAACGUAUACUCUCCUUGUGCCUGGCAUCAAAUGCCUUAAAAACUUUCUAUGAAGCGGAACUAUCAUCCGAUUGGUCAACCUGGCGUAUUCCUGCCUUGUGGCCUUGAGACUUUUGUUUGUUCGGACUAAUAUUCGGUCUUUUGGCUUGAAAAAUUCUCGACUUAUGGCUUUAUUUUAGUGGUCCAAUGCUUGGUCUUCUGGCGGGUUCUCACCUUAAAUGUUUUUGUUUAACGGGUCCAACACUCAGUCUUCUAGCGUGACGGAUUUCCGACUUAUGCUUUUGUUUUAAUGGGUCCAAUGUCCAGUAUUGUGGCAUAAAUGCUUGAUUAAUGGGUCCAAUGUCUGGUCUUUUGGCAUGAGUGCCUUGACUAGUGGGUCUAAUGCCCGUCUUGUGGCAUGAGUGCCUUGAUUAAUGGGUCCAACGCUCGGAUGGCCUUGUGACUUUUUAUAAGUUUAUUUUUAUUUUUGCGGUCCAACGCCUAGAUUAUGGCCUGGCUGAAGUUGCCUUGUGGCUUGACAUGAGAUGCCUUAUUAUGCGGGACUAAUGCUUGGAUGGCCUUGUGGCCUAUGUUUUCACAGUCCAACAUCCAGAUUAUGGUCUGGCUGAAGUUGCCUUGUGGCCUAGCAUGAGAUGCCUUGUUAUGUGGGAUCAAAGCCUGAAUGGCCCUGUAGCCUUUUAUGAAUUUAUUUCUAUUUUCAUAGUCCAACACCCAAAUUAUGGCCUAGCUGAAGUUGCCUUGUGGCCUAGCAUGAGAUGCCUUAUUAUGUGGGGCCAACGCCCAAAUGGCCUUGUGACUUUUUAGUGGGAUUGACAUCUGGAUGGUCUGGCGAAACUCGCCUUGUGACCUUUUCUCUUAUCUCCAUACUUUCAUUCAUCCAGUGUUUCUGAUUUUCCUAUCAAAAAAGAAACUUGAAGAAUGCAUCAUAGUCUUAUAACAUUUCCAUAAAUCACAAAGACUCGGUCGUCUGUCUUGACCAAUUUCAAAACUCAGAGUUUGAUCCAGGAGCUGAAAAUUUAUGAUAUUCUCCUAAUUUUCAACCCUAUUAACACUUAGUCCUUUUGCAAUUAUAUGAAUAACCCCCACAAGUUCUCUAUCAAGGGUGAUUUGGGGGUUGUUACUUCAAACUCGAGCCUCCUAUCUCUUCUAUUCUUUCUGAUGAACUUUCAAAGUGUGUCAUUUCUUAUUAACCUCUCGAUCUUGUCUUUCAAAUGCCGGCACUCCUCCAUUAUAUGUCUGUGAUCUUCAUGAAAAUGGCAGUACUUGGUCUUAUCUCGCCUUCCAGCUUUCUUAUGGUUGAGUUUAGGAGGCCAUCUAACUUUCUUGUUAUUUUUUCUAAUCCACAUUAAAAUAUAUGUCCAUAAGUUAUUCAGUGGAGUGUAAUUCUUAUACUUACCUUGGUCGUCCCUUCCUCGAAGACUGAGUAACUUUUGUGAUCUCUCUCAUAUUUUUGCUUCUUCGACUUUUGGUCUUGCUUUAGACUCGUCUUCUUGUCCUCUCUUGGUGCUUGGACUUCGUCAUCCAGCUUGGACUUCGUCAUCCAGCUUGAUAUAUUUUUGGGCCUUAUCUAUCAACUGUUGAUAUGUUGCGGCUGGAUUUUUUAUUAAAGAAUCCACGAAAUUGACGUUGUGUGUUCCUUUCUUCAGCGCUUCACAUGCUAUCUCAUGAUUUAACUCCUCUAUCUGUACUGCCUCGGCAUUGAAUCGUGAGAUAAAGCUCCUUAGAGACUCGCCCUCUCCUUGGUGGAUCUUUUGCAAGUUAGAGAAUAGAUUUUUAGGAGGUAUACAAGUAAUAAAUCAGGAUUUAAAUAACGUAGCAAACUACAUAAAGUUUUGAAUUAAACUUGGGCUCAAAUAUUGGUACCAUUUUUUAGCCAAACCUGUGAGUGUUGACGGAAACACUUGAUACAACACGAAAUCAUUGACAUAUUGAAGUUGUAUGAUCAUCCUAAAGAUUGCCAAGUGACUCAUGGAUCUACUGUUCUAUCAUAUUUGUCCAAGUUAGGCAGCUUGAACUUAGCUGGGAUUGUUUCUGCUAAGAUUUCUUUCAAAAGAGGCGAGGCACCAUCCAGGCCAAAAUCCUCCUCUUACUCCUUCUAGUACCUUUGAACAGCCCGCAUCAGCUUCCGAUCGAUAUUUUCCAGAGCAUCGUCUGAUUCAUCUUCUUCUAACUCGGCCUUCCCUUUGGAUCACCUCUUGAUCGUCUUUACCCGAGUCCUAGGGGUUUCAAUUGGGGCUUCCUCCUUUCUCUUAGGAGCCGUGACUGACGCCUCCCCCCGAGUUUUGUAUUGCUCGAGAGUAGCCUGCAAAUUUUUAGAUGUAUUGGAUUAUCUACUCGUUGUUUAGAUUAUUGAGAUCUACUUCAUUGGCCAUCUAGGAGCGUGUUUUGUCCACUGCUAGGGGUGGAAAAAAUGAUAACGCCUUCAUUGGUAGUAAUAUUAGCAGCAGCUCAUGAACUUUCUGCCAUUCCGAGAAAGAGCAGAGAGAGAUUUCUUCCUAGGAGAAAAGAAAUAAGAUGCCUAAUUUAAUCCAAAUAAACAGAAAAGAUUCAAUAGUAACCCAAAAAUGGAACAAAAUGAUGUUGCUGAAACCAAAUUGAUGAUAUGGUCGAAUGGAGUUAUACUGUGAUUGGUCCAAUGGAACUAUAAUGUGAUUGGUCAACUUGUAGGACAGAAAACGUGAGGUGGUUGGCGUCUACGGCAGCCACUUUAAUGCUCAAGUCAGUAAGUUAAAGAGAAGGGCGAGUAUAAUAUUUAGAACUCAAGAGUAGUUGUGCGAGAGAAUAAUAUACCUUUGUCUCUGUAAUCACUCACUUUUAUACUGUAAGAGGGAGUUAAUUAUAAUAUAUCUUGAGAAUCCGACAACGAUGUGUCCGGCUAAUUGACAAGGGAUCUUGCCGACUAAUCGGCAGGGGAUCUUGCAAUUAUAGAUGUAAUAGAGAUCUUGUAGAUUAUCUCCGAUGGUAACUUAAUGUGAAGAUUCAGUCUGCUCUGAAAUGGGCGAAUCUUGAUGAAAAGCCAAGCAUCUCGGUUGUCCGGGCCUUCCGCUCUUUGGGUGGACCGCAUAUUCGAUUAUUAGACCCUUAUCAUGUGGUCCUAUUUUAUGGUGACAAUUUAUGACCUACUUUAGAUGAUUUUUAUAUUUUGGACGAUUCUUUUGUAAUAUCAAGAAGUAUAUAUGGUAAAUGCAAGAUGAAGAGACUAAAUAUCUUAGUUUUUCAAAAUAUAAAUCUCAAAUCGUUAUUAACAUAAAACUUAGGAAUUAUAUAUUACAUUUUCCUUCUAAAAGAGUUAUUAGAAUUUUAAAAAUUGGGUCAUUUUGGGUAUCAAACGCUUAUUCAAGUUUUGGAUGAGGGUGUAUAAGUAUUUGAUUGGGUUUUAAAUUUGAAUGGAUAUGCCAAAAUUAAUAUAUAUAUAUAUAUAGUAUAUUUUGUACUCUAUUAAACUGAAGGUUUUUACGUAAAAACAAAUAUAUUUUUAAUUUAAUAAAGUUAAAAUGUAUGGAAUAAAUUAUUUAUUUUGAGAAAUUAAGGAAAAUAAAUUUUAAUUUUGAUAUAAUGUAAGGAUUAAAAAAAAUACUAUAUAUUGAAAGUAUUUUAGUAUUUUUAGUUUUAUUUUGACAUUUUUUUUUGUAAUUUUAAUAAAUUAUUUUCUAUCUUUCAGACAAUUUAAUUGAAUAUAUUUAUAUUUCUGAAAAAUAAACUGAAUUUAUAAUUUAUUGAAUUUAAUAAUUUAAUAGCUUAACACAAAAAUUCAAAAAACUUCCAUAAAAUUCUGGCACUUUUGUAUAAAUUAUUAAAAAUCAUGUGAACAAUUGGUGAUGAAAUAAACUUAACUAUUCUGUCCCAUAAUUAAAAUUAAAUAAUAUUAUAUUAAUUAAUUUAUAUAUUACUAUAAUUUAAAAAAUAAAUAAUAAUUAAAAAAUAAUUAAAAAAUAAAUAAAAAUUAUAGGAGCUAGGAGAAAAUAUUUCCUUUAAUUUUUGUUUAUUUUUUAAAAAAAGAAAUUUUAUGGUGCCCAGCCUCCAAGACUCCAGCAUGGCAGCAUUUUGAGGUUUGGGAUUGCAGUAUAAAAGAGGACCAAGAGAAAUAUAAUAAAGCAAGAUGGGUUGAUUCCAGUAUUUAUUUAUUUUAUUUAUUUAUUUUUCUUUUUAAAUUCUUAUAUUACAAAAUAAAAAUUCAAUAACUAUAAUAAAUAGGUUUCUUGGAGAAAAAAGAAAAUAUUUUAGGUUAGAUGGGAUAAUUGCAUUUGAAGUUAUAAAAUCUUGUAAACUAUUUUAUUUAAUAAAGGAACAAAUUAAGAUAUAUGAAGAAAAGAGACGCUAUGUCAGACAAUUUAGUUCCCAAAAUGAAUUAGGCCAAAAAAAAUGUCAUGAAUAUAAUUAAAAUAAAUAUUUUUUAUUAAAAAAUUAAGCCAUUUAAAAAAAUAAUUUCCUUUUUUAAAAGAGAAAAUUAUUUUUAAUAUUUUAAAAAUUUUAACAUAAAUAUAUGAAGUGGGUGAUAUAUUUUUAGCAACAAGAAGAAAUUAGGUUAAGAAAAAUGAAUAUUUAAAUAGCAUGAAAUUUCAAAAUUUGGGAACGUGAAAACAUAAAAUAAAUAAAUAAGAGAUGGGUGUGUAAUAGGACAAGAGCGGUGACAGUUGGCAUGCUCCUAUUAUUCCAGUCAAUAAAGCAAAACGAUGGCUUCUCAUUGCAUCAACAUUGACACGUGCUUGUCGUUUUGGCCUUUGAUUUUUCUAAUAAUGAUCAUACAAACAAUUAAAUCUAUAAGCCUACAAGUUGACCAAUAAGGUUUAGUUGUUUAGCAUCAAAAAUUGAUCUAGUCCAGUCUGUUGAGUGUGUAUUUUAUUUUUUAAAUUUAAAAAAAUUAUAAAAAAAUUUAUUAAUUAAUUUUUUUAAUUUUAAAAAAUAUAUUUAAUAUGUUCAGUUAGAAUACAGAGCAAUGCCAUGGAAGGAAGGGAAUGUGAUUUUUCUUUACCUUCGAUGUAAUUUAUCAAUUUAAUUUAUUACAAAAAUAUUUAUAUCUAAUUUACAGAAAUUUAGUUCCUUUAAAAUUUGUAAUUAAUUCUCUUAAUAAUUUUAUUUUAAAAGUAAAUUUAAAUUAUUUUAUUCAACAUUCAGUGAUUUUACUAUUGCACCCGAUGCCUUUUUUUUAUUAUUAUUUUCUUUUUUUUUUCAACUGUAUUUAUUAAUUACUUAUAAAAGCACUUUGAAAAUCUCUUAGAAAGGUUGGUGUUUGGUCCAAUCAAUCAAUUCAAUAGCAAAGUUUGGGGGAUUUUGUUUCGUUUUCAUCCUAGAAAAUUCCUAGAGAUCUUCAUUAUUCUUCAACUAAACAUUAUCUAAUCGUAUCAAAAAAUAUUAAUAUAAAUUAGGUUUAAUUAUAAAAUCAUUUAAUCUUUGCGUCUUUUAUAAUUUAAUUUAAAAUAUUUUUUUAUGCAGUAGAUCAAAAUUUUAAAACUAAUGUUUUUUUUUUUUAAUUUAAAAUCAAUUUAAAAAUUAUAUCUUAGCUGACUGGAGUAUAUUAGUUAAUGGAAAUUUUUUAUUUACACCUUUAAAAAUAUUUUAUUAUUUAAUGUUUGUGAGGUCUACUAUGAUUUUAGUUUUUUUAUAAACCAAAAUUUUAUUCGUAAAAAAGAAGAGGGAAAAAUAAUGAUUGGAAAAAUUACUAUAAUUUUUUUUAAUAUGUCAUUUUCUUAAUGACUAAAUUUAUAAAACUCACACUCAGAAUAAAAUCAGUCAGAAUAAUAACAGAAAUUAAUAAUCUAUUAAAAUCUGUUACAAAUCAGUAACAAAUUAAUUUUAUAAUUUUCAGUAAUUGAUUGAGAAAUAUGUGACUAAAUAAAACUGUUUGCUAAUUUAAUUGGGAAUUUUGAAAUCUAUUAUAAAAUUAGCAAAAGAUUAGUAAUAAAUUUGAAUAUGUUAUUGCUAAUAUUUAAUUACUAAAAGUUAUUUUUAUAAAAAAAUAUAAAAUAGUAAUGGAAUAUAACAUAUUAUCAAAUUAAUAACGGAGUUAGUAAUUGAUUAAAUCCGUUACAGUAUUUUGAAUAAAAACUCUAAUUUUUAUUUUUUAAAAUUUUAUAUUUUUUUAAAUUUAAUAAUGAAUAUAAUUCGUUAUUAAUUUAAAAAUAAAUAAUGAAUUAUGUACUUUAUUGUUAAAUUUUCAAAAAAACAUAUUGCACUUUAAUUUUAGAAUCACACCUUUCUUCUUUUUAAUUUAGUAACGAAUAUAAUAUAUUACUAAAUUUGUUAGUAAUCUAAAAAUUAGUAUCGAAUUCCUUAAUCUAUUACUAAAUUUUAGAGUAAAAUACCACGCUUUUAUUUUAGAAUCUCACAUUUUUUUUAAAUUUUUAAUUGAGUAAUGAAUAUAAUAUAUUACUGAUCUAAAAAUGAAUAACAGAUUUUUUAAUAUGUUGCUAAAUUUUGUAGAAAAAUACUACUUUUUUAUUUUAUUCGCCAAUAUUAUUCUUUUAAAUUUAGUAAUAGAUGGAAACCGUUACUAAUUUGUGUAUUAUAUACCAACACAUUGAUGUGGCUGAAACGAAACUAUGCUGUAAUUGGUCAAUCUACAAGAAAGAGAAUGUGAGGUGAUGGGCGCCUACGACAGACACUCCGACGCUCAAGUUAUUAAACUGAAGAAAAGGGCGAGUGUAAUGAAUUCCUUAGAACUCAAGAGUGGUUGUGUAAAAAUGCGUACCUUGAUCUCUUUGUUUAUCAGCUUUUAUACUAUAAGAAGAUGGAGUUGGUUAUCAUAUCUCCUAGAAAUCCGAUUAACACCGACUAGUAGAUAUGGGAUUCCGCGAUUAUAGGUGUAACGGGAAUCUGCUAGAUUGUAUAUCUAAUGGUAACUUUCUGUGAAGUCUCGUUCAGUUGAAGAGAGGGUGAGUCUUGGCAAAGAAUCGAGGACUACAGUAUCCGGGUCUUCCUUUCCACUAAUGGGACCGCGUAUUAACUUAUCAAACACUUGCCACAUGGCUUUGUCUUAUAUUGACAACUCAUGACUUGCUUUGAGUGAUUAUUGUACUACAACAGAGGUCCCCCCCCCCACUAGUUUCGAUUCUCCAGAUUUGAAGAUUACAAUUGUCUUCACGAUCUUAAGCACGUGGCACGUCUAGAUUGGUCGUUUAUGCUCGCAUCGCUUUGCCUGCUCCUGACCAUGAUGAUUGCCUUAUUCCUCGAGCUGCAUUCAAAACCUACCGUCGAAACCGUCAUAUAAAAACCACUCUUCUCCAAAUACCACUUUUGCUCACAACUGACUUUUGCACUUUAGAAAAAACUCGACCACUCCUCUUUUCCAUUCACACAUGUCCUUACUCAAGAAUUCCUAUUUGCUUUUUCUUCUAUAGAAAUGAAUAGGAACACUUCUUUUUCUUCUUCUUCUAGUGAAAGUUCAACCUCUAACUCCUCCUCCAAUGGCUACCAUUUGCGCUCCUCUUCCAAUGGCCCCCAUUUGCACUCCUGCUCCUAUUGUCCCGCUAAGGGCAGUCCAUGACCAUGAAAAUAUCUUGGUAAACGAUAUUCCUUCCAUGCUGACUGAGAAGGAUGUAGACCGUCUCUAUGAUUAAUAUCAAAUCUCAUGAGAGACCUUCCGAAUUUAUGCUCCCGCCUCGCAUGUUCAUAUGGAUGGUUGAAUUCCUGCUGAGAAUAAUCAUCUAUGAAGAGCAAUUAAAGGUGGGUCUUUGAUUUUCAAUGGAUUCGUUCUUCGUUGAAGUCCUUCGUUUCCAUAAGAUGGCAGUCGCCCAAAUGAACCCCAACAAUUGGAGGAUUUUAGUGGCUUUUCGCUUUUCGCUUUCUCUGCUUUAACAACAACAUCGAGCCGAGUGUUGCACUAUUCUCUUAGUUGUACUAGCUAGAAACCUAAAAGAACGAUGAAUUCUGGUACUUUAGCGGGAGAAAACAUCAAAACCUUUUAGACCGGAUGCCCUCAUCCCUCAUCACCGAGUAUCCAAGGAUUUUGGGUGACUCCAAACUGAUUAGAAUGUAUACGUGGAGUUUCAGAAGGAUGAGGUCCAGCCACGGUAGGAUGAAGAAGAGUCUUUGGACUUCCUCUAGAGGAUGGCCUUGACAUAAAGUAUCGAUAUCAUAGUAGCAGUGAGGAACGCCCUUCUGUCCUGGCAAAGCCACACUCAAGUUGGCCAGGCUCAGGCUCCUCACCUGCGCAGCCUUCCAGCCACUCGGGAAAGCACAUCUCAUGCUAAUGUGCAGGUAUUUUUCUUUUUAACCCCUUUGUUUUUGAAACUGCCUUACUUAAUCACCUUUUGUUUCAUGCAGAUAUGACCGGGCCAAAAAAUAAAUUCGUCAAGACGGCAUGUGCUGCCCAUAAGGGCAAAGCUGUUGUGGAGUAAUCGAACCACCUCCUAAAUGAGCUCGCUGUACCAAGGAGAUUAUCAUACUUCCUCCUCCUUCACUCCCUCCUGCGGUUGAAGAAUCAACUCCAACUCAGCUCGAGUCUUCUACAAGGGGCACUUUUGCAGUAGUCCCUAUCACUAUCGAACCAGCACCUGAAAGUGCUGGAGUUGAAUCUUCGUGGCCCCAAAUUGUUCAAUACCUGGCGCUGGUAUUGACCCGAACGACCUCUCUUCUCGAGGAACCUUACAUGUCAGUCCUCAUAACCAAGAAUGCUUUGAGGAUUGGGACUGUCAUGUUUUGAAUGAGGUCAAGAUAGACGAUCUCUAUAACAACAUCAUGCAUUCUGCCAUGGAGAGUGUUCUCUGCGCAUAAAUGGCUAAGGAGCGGAACAAGAUUCUGAGGUAAGAAUUUGGGGACCAGGAGACAGGUAAAAGUCCCCUACAAAAGGAAUGUUUGAGGGUGAAGGCUCGAGUUCAUGAGGUGGAGAGUACAAUAAAAGAGACGCUGGAGUCAGUGGACAAGCUCCAGGCAGAUAUGGACAAGGCCAACACUUCUAAGCUUUCCCUUGAGAAUCGGGCAAAAAAUACUGAGGAUCAAGUGACUAUCCUCCAAUGGCAAGUCCAGGCGCUGCAAUCUCAAGCUGAGGAGAACCAAGCUGCCUCCAACAGAAUUACUAAACUAGAGGCUGAGUUUUAGAAGACAGUAGCCUAGGGAGGAGAAAUGUUUAUCGUGGGCCAAGACUUGGUCAAGAAGGAGUUGGUAAAACGAUUUUCUUUUGAGGAUUUUACUUGGACAGAUGACAUCUUCCUGGAGGAGGAGGACAAGCAAGAGGAGGAGAGGAUUGAAAAUCUCAACUGAGUCUUUGCAGAAAAUGUAAUAGAUGUAAAGAAUGUAAAUGUUAUAGAGGCCCGGGAGGAGAAAAUUGAGGAUAUCCCUCCUCCUAUGUAAUCCUUUCCUUUUUAUGUAAUGGAAAUAUUUUCUUUCAUAUCUUAUUACAUUUUUACUAAGUGUUUAUAUGCUCUGUACUCGUCCAUAACCCUCAUCUAAUCAUCAUCAAAUAAGACUUAAAUAAUCUCUAAAAAAUUGCUAAGGGGGUUAACACCCAACUAAAUAUCUAGUAAUCAUUACAUUUACUAAAAAAUGACCUAAGCAGGCUCGCUAACAGGAUAUAACACUCGGUCACCAGUCUAACUGAUGCCCACUUUAUGGGCAUAAAAUAAAUAACUUGAAAAAAUUCGAAAAUAGGACCAACACUUAGUCAUUGGGCCUGCCAGAUACUCGUCUUGAGGCCUUAGUAUAUAAUGCCUUAGAAAAAAUUUUUAUAACAUGGGACUAACACCCGAUCAUUGGGCCUGACAGAUACUUGUCUUGUGGCCUAGGCAUAAAAUAUUUUAAAAAUUUUUUAUAAAGUGGAACUAACACCUGGUCACUGAGCCUGGCGGAUACCCACCUUGUGGCUUUUAUUAAUGAAUGUUUUUAUUUGAAUAAGAUAAACCCAUCAUUUCUUGUCACUGAAUAACUCAACAUAUGAAAAAAAUAUCUCGUUAAUUGUUAUUGAUAAAAUUUUCUUAGAUUAUAAAUAUUUCAGGGAUGGAAAAUGACUCGACCAUCUAAUUUAGCCAAUUUAUAAGACCUUGGGUGAAUAACCUUCGACAUCUUAAAUGGUCAUUUCCAGUUUUCGGCCAACCUACUGACUCGGUAUUAUCGCCUUUUACAUCUGUUCUUUUAAGAGCUAUAUCCCCUACAUUAAAAGCUCGUGACUUGACUCUACUGUUAAACAUUCUGAACAUUACCUUUGAAAUUCUAAACCGAAUAAAGAUAUUCUUGUUGACGAAGGACAUUGCCUAUUGGUGGUGAUAGACUGAAUUGUCUUUACCUCAGCCCACUUGCUGAAAUGAUCUACCGCUACUAUUAUAAAUUUUCUUGAUCCAAUUGCUUUUGAAAAAGGGUUAAGAAUAUCUAGCUCCUACUAAAAUAAAGAAUAGGGGGCUUCCAAUUGCUGUUUAUAAACUAAUUUAAUUUUAAAAAAAAAUUGAUAAAAUUCACUUAUUUGAACAUUAUAACCAAAUAAUAAAAAAUUAAGUGAAUUAACUUUUAAAUCAAACUUCAAUUGAUAAACUUCUCAAUUUUGAUUAUAUUCUGUUGACAUUUUAAAUUAAUCGUUUAUUCCAUUAUUUCAUCGCAUUUAUUUUAUUUCUUCUUAAAUAUUUUGAAAUAAAAUAUUGAAUAGAAAUUUCUGUCCUUUUUCUUUCAUUUUAAAUAUUUUUCUUUUAUUUGAGUUAAAUAAAUUCAAGAUUUCUGUUGAAUUGAUAUGUAUUCAAUUUAUCUAUGAGAAUUAUUAAAUUAAAAAAAAUCAAUUUUAAUUAACUGAUUCAAACGCCUUAUUACUAAUGGAGGUGUAUACUACUUUCCUCAUCGGAUCUGAGAAUAGAUGCUUUUACAAUGUCCAAAGACACGUAAUAGCUUCUAGUGUCGUGUUGUUCUAAGUCUAGUGAGGAAUUACAGUUGGCUUUAUCUUAUUGUGGUAAAUAUGAGAGAAAAGAAAUAAAUUUAUGUAGUUUCAAAAUAAAUAAAUAAAAUAAUUUUUUUAAAAAACAAUAAAAUAAACUUUUUUUAAUAAUAAAAUAAAAUUAUGUUUGGGCCAAGUCCCAAAGAUGCUCCUGAUUUUGGAAUAUUUAGAGGCUACGAGGCAUCGGUAGGAGUGAUGUUUUUUCUUCAAAUGUCAGUUCAUGAUCUCCUUGUCUAAAUCUCCAUAUGGCAAAUGCAAUUUUAAUAUUUAGUAGGGUGUCUAGAGGGCUCCUGUAGUAUUUUAUUUACAUUAAUUUAACAAAUUUAAUUUAAUCAAAAAUAAAAAUUUAUAAGUUAAUUUUUUAUUUAAAAUUCUAUUUAUUUUACAUAAAAUAUUUUUAAAAAAUAUUUUUCAUAUUUUUUAACAUUUAAAAUAUUAAAAAAAUUAUUUAACAAAAAAUAUUUUCUUAAAUAAUAAAAAAUUAACUUAUUUUAGGAAAAAAUAAUUUUUUUAAUAUUUGGAAAAUCUUACUAGGAGCUUUCUAUUUAAAUUUGUUAAUAUAUUUUAUUUUUAAAUUAAAAUUAAAUAAUAAAAAAUAAAUUAUUUUUAUUAAAAAAUAUUUUUUAUAUGAAAAAUAUUUUUUAAACAUAAAUUAUUUUUCAAUGUAAACUAUUUUUCUUGAAAUAAAUGGAGGUUAAAUUAAAAAAUAACUAACUCAAUUUCUUAAAUUUAAAGUUUUUCUUAUUGGUUUAAUCUAAAAAUCAAGAAACUCAAUUAAUUGAUUUUCUUCAUUUUUAUACUUAUUUGAGAUGUACAAUUUAAAAUCAUUUUUAACAAUUUUUUAAAAUUAAUUUAAAAUUUUAAUUUAAUCAACUUUAAAAAAAAAAUUUGUAUGGGUUAAAUUGCUUUUUUACUUAAAUUAAAAAUUGAUUAACUCAAUUUCUGAUUUAACCAAAAAAUCUAGAAGCUCAAAUAAUAAAGGAGCUCCUCACUUGGUUAUUUUUAAUCAUUUUGUAUCUGGUGCUUAUGCCUUCUAGGGAGAGGAGGUCACAAGAUUUUUUAAUGGAAUUUUUUUAUUAUCUUGGAAAAAACGAAAAAGAAUAAAACGUGUUAUAAUUAUAUAUAUAUAUUUUUAAUGGCUCAAACAAAAUUCAAACUCAUAUAAAAAUUUUAAAUUUAAACUCCAAUGAAAGUAAAAUAAAUUCAAUAAAGUUUAUUGAUCUCAAAUAUUAGAUUCAAAACAAUUAAUGUCUAUUAAUUAAGAGAUUUACCUUCUUGAAAAAUAAAAACUAAAAAAAAAAUGAAGUUGAUUUCAUUUGCAAACGAAAAUUGGGGAAAAUUUUAAAAAAUAAUUAAAUGAAAAUUUUACUAUUUACACUAUUGUGAAAUUGAUGAUUUGAUAUUCAUAUUUUCCAAAGUAUAAUAUUUACAUAAAUUUUUAUGUAAUUAUAUUGUUAUUUAUAAUAUUAAUAGGAUAUUCUUUUUUAAUUAGAGUGUGAUAAAUAUUUUUCGAUAAAUGGAGGUCUAAAUAGAAUAAAUAUUUUAUUUAUGUAUAAUUCAUAAAAUUUCUAAUUAGAUUAAAAUUAAAAACUCUAGCAUUAUGAAUUAGAGUGUAGAAGAGAGAUUAUUUGACUUUUAGCCAUUUUACUGAGAGGCUUUUGUUCAAUUGAUAAGAAUUUGAGUUGCUCUCACAUUAAGAUAGAGAAAGAUUUGGAUUGAUUUUGUUUUUUAAACAUAGUAAUCAUAUGUAUUAAGAAACUAAAUAGACAAGGAUACAAUAACCAUGUUGAGCUCACACCCUAAUACAAACAAGCCUCUCUAUUCACAAAACCUAACUAGCCCAACCACCUCAUCACCGACGGAAUAGAAAAGUCCAUCGAAAGUCAGAGCAGCUAAUUCGCAAAGCAAGCAAGCUAAACGGAUAGAUCGAACUCUCGAGUAUUGUGGGUUGCUAGUGCAACUCAUUUUUAGAACACGACUCAAAUUGAUCUAAAUAACUUUUGAACUUAUUUUCCAUUUUAAUUAAAAUGAUUAAUCCAAAUUAUUUAGUAGAUUUUAGCUAGAAUAUUAUAUACCCUAUCAAAUUUUACUAAUUUCUCAAUGUGGGAAAUUUUGCGCCACCACUUAGAUAUGAUAAAGAGACAUCCAAAACUAAGAUCCAAAGCUAAAUCCACGAUGCCAGAGCACUCAAGAUGAAGAGUGGCUGCCAAAGGAGAGGAUAUCAGCCUCCAAAUCAACAAAAUGAUUCAUAAGAAAUAGCACAUAGGUAACUAAAAACCCACAUGCAACUUUAGAGGAAGCUGCUAAAUUCUUGCACACACCAUCCUUCAGUGUCAGAUCAGAUCUAUCCAUCCAAGGUAACAAGGGAAAAGCUCCAUGGCCAUGGCAGUCACAGUCUCGAUUAGCCAUGGAAGAUCGAUUUAUGGCAUCAUUGGCUGCAUCCUAAACCACAAGCUUUGAUGAUUUCGUGCUAAUCAAAGAUAGGAUAGAAAGACAUUUCAAAGAAAAACAUAAAAACUAUACUAGAUCUUGAAGAAACUCUCUCUUGGAAGCAUUGAUUUGGUCUCUUAACAACCACAAAAUAUGUACACGCAAAAUUAGAAGGGAUGAGGAAAAAUCCCCUUUGGCCAAGCGGAAAACAAAAUGAAAAAACCUUCCCUACCAAGCACCGCAACAACCUUGCAAAAGAACUGAGAAAAAAGAAAAUCUUAGAAAAUAAAGAAAUUUCUCUCUUUAAUAAAGUAGAAAGAGACCUAUCUACAAUAAAGCUAAACUAUUUGGGUUGAUAAAUAAAUAACUUUAAUUUGUAAUUGAUGAUUUUAUUAAAUAAAAUUCAAUUGAUGAUUUUAUUAAGUAUAAUAAAGGGUGAAUACUUUGUAUUUUACUCUUAUUAUAUAUGUUAAAUACUUUCACUGUCCAACUAUUUUUCUCAAAUUUUACUCUUCUUCUUAAAUUUUAUCAUAACAAAUUUUUUUUACCGUUAUUAACAUUUUUAUUUCUAAUCAAUUUUUUGAUUAAUUAUUAAAUUGAUAAAGAUAGACAGAAAUAUAAACAAAAUUAAAUGUGAGAGACUAAAUUAUAUAAUUUUAAAAAAAUACAAGGAUUAGUUAAUUAAUUUAAACAUAAUUAUUUACUGUAGUAAAACCUUUUAUCUAAUUUGACAAGAGCACAUUCUCACAAUUUUCAAGAAUCAGCAUUUCAAGCUGUGGCAGCUCAAUCUCAUGGAAUAGCAACCUAAUUAAUUAAUUAACAUAAGUUAUACAUUAGCAGCACAGCUAACAUCAAAUCAAUUCUCCACAGAAAACAAAAAGGUGAAUACAAACAAAAUGCCUCUAAAUAUAUAAAAUGUUAGGUAAUUUGAUGACAUGGGUUUUCAAUUAUACAAUUCAUGCCACCACAUACCCAAAUCAAAAUCUUGAGUUUAAAAUCAAAAAUAAAGAAACUAGUAGAUGAUGGACAAGUGGGGUUGAGUACAUCUCUAACGGAUUUUACUUUCAACGUCAGGAAGCAUCGGAGAUUUUUUUUUUUUUUAAAUAAUAAUUGAAAAUUAAAAGAGUAAAACUUAAAAUUUUUCAAAUUUAUUUAAAUAUACUUAUUAUCAGACUAAAUUAAUCUGUGAGUGCGUAUGAGAGAAAUUAUUAAAUACUCUAAAUAUAUCAUUUUGAAAAUUUUGAAUUAAAAAUAAUUUAUUUUUUAAUUUUAUAUUGUAAUUUAAAAAAUAAUUUAUCGAAUAGUCAUCAUUAUUGAAAAGAUUUUACUCAAAUGUCACUAUUAGAUCGAGUGUAAAUGAAAAUUCAUGAUAGUUAAUAGAAAAAAGAAAAGUAGAUGGCUAGUUAGGAGUGGUCCAUAUUGAUGACCACCAAAAGAUACAAACAGCUAAUUAAAUUAAGUAAUCACUCAAUGAUUUCCAUAUUAUAGGGCUUGAAAAGGACUUGUUUUUGGCUCCUACCAUAUCCUAAGAUUCUUCUUCCAAUUCAUCUCUGUCUUCCACUAUCCAGGCUUAGGCUCAGGCUGCCAUUUUUCCCUAAUUAAUCUCCACCAUCCUUCUAAGAAAACAGUGUUUAACAAAAAUAUAAUAAAUCUUUUUUUUUCUUUUUCUAUUUCCUUAUCCUCAACAACUCAUUUUUAUCUUCUAAUACCCUACUUCUGACUUUCUUGAAAGCAUUUUAUCACACGGCAUUGACACCCCACACAUAGAUAAACAACUAUCAUAUUAAUAUGCCAUCUUUUAAACGAUUUCUUCUUUUUUUUUUUUCUUUUUUUUAAAAAAAUAUUUAUGUUGCUUCUUUGAAGAGGGUACACCUACAUUAAUUACUCUAUUAUCUACCUAAUAAUUUAUAAUUAGCAUAGUUAUUUUUUAUAUAUAUACAUCUGUUUCACAUUGUAAGAUUAAAUUAUCUAUAAUUUGAAAAUUAAAGGAGUAAACAAAAUUAAAGGAUAAAAUGACUUUUCUUUAAAAAAAAUGAAAUAAAUUAUAUAUUUUCACGUUUAAAAAUUUAUAUCUCCUAAGAAUAGAGCAAUAUUAAGUUCAAAUCGAAAAUAUUGACCAAACCAAAUUAAUUUGAAAAUUCAGUUUAAUUUUUUAUUUUUUUUAUUUCAGUUUUUAAUUUAAAAAAUUUCAAUUAUUUCAAUUCGAUUCGAUUUUGAUAAAAAAAAUAAAAAAAAAAUAAACCAAACCGAUUAGUGAUAAUAAUAUAUUAUUUUCAAUAAUACAGAGAUUAGAUCAUAUUGAUUCAAAAAAAAAAAAGAGAUUAGAUCAUAUUAAAGUUAAAAUAUUUUAAUUAAAUUUUAAAAUACUAAAAAUAAAGUAUAAAAAAUAAAAAAUUAUUAAAAAUUCAAACGGAUCAAAUCAAAUUUUAUUUGAUUCAAUUUAAUUUCUAAUUAAAAUUGAUUCGAUUUAAUUUUUAUACGUAUCAAAAUUUCGAUUUUCAUAAAUACCAGCUUGGUUUAAUUAAAAAUAUUCAUAUUAAACUUUUCUUGAAUUUUAAAUUUUAGUAAAAUUCUGUUUAUGAAAAUAAAAAAUUUACCCAUUAAAUAUUAUUAUUAUUUAAAUUAGAUUUAAUAUUAUAUUUGCAAAAAUAGGAUUGUCUGGCAAAAGGGUAGUACAAAUUAUGGUAAUACCAUUCUAACAAAAAAUAAUGAGUUUGAUAGUUAAAGGAGGAGUGAUUAAUAAUUGACAGCUAAUUUAAAUUUUAGUCAAGAAAUGUAACUACAAUAAUUCUAAAUUGGAGGAUGACUUUUAAGCAAAGAGAAACUAUCUACUAGAAAAACUAAACUCUCCCAUGUGCUUAUUCUACUACCAACCAAUUAGACUCUCUUUAAGAAUCUUUUCUUUUUUUUUUUUAAAAAAAAAAAAAGAAAUUAUUUGUUGGACUUAUACAUAUCCAAUCAAUAUUUAUAUUUUAAUUUUUUAUGAUUUCAAGGACAUGUGCCUUAGGAGAAAAAAAAAGCAUAAAAAGCAAACUCAUCCAAUGAUCUAUGGAGCAUACAUAAAUAAAAAUAAAUAAAAUAUUUAUAUAAUAAAUCAUUUUUUAAAUAUAUAUAAAUGAUUUUUUUUAAUUUUUAUCCAAAUUAAUAAAAGUUAAUAUUGAUUUAUGCAUGAAAUCAAAUGCAAAUAUAGAUUAGUCAAUACUCUUUAUGUCAUUUUCAUAGAAGUGGGGACAUUUUCAUUUUCAAAGAAAAUAUUCAUCAUUAUUUCUUGCACGAAAUGCAAUUGGACCAAUAAAUUAAAUAAGUAAAUAAAUAAAUAAUUUUUUUUUUUUUACUUUUAUUUUUCAUCUUUCUUUAUGGGUAGUGUAGCUCAAAGUAGAUGCAAAAAGCUGAAAUCCCACUUGAUGGAUAUUCACAUGCAAUCUAAUAAUUGAGAAAUACCAUUAAUUUAAAUUGUGAUUUUAUUUAUUUUUUAUUUUUUAAAUAUUUUUUUUGGGUUUUUUGGAUUAGUGAAGAGAAGGUGCUUUUGAUGCUAAAAAACGUGCAGGAUCUCUGCAGUUUUAAACAAUUAAUAUCAAUUUUGAACCACUACGAGUUGCUGACUCAGUUCUACAAUCAACUGAGUUUCUAACGAGUCAAUCAAUAUUUUUAGUCUUUCUCUCCAGGUUUGUGACAGCCUGUUUUCUCUCAAUUUUUAAAUUAGAACAUUUGUGGGUCUAUCUGUAAAAUGAGAAUUAAUUGAUAAAUUUUAAUUUAAUUUAUAGUAAAACUAAUACCUUUAGCUUUUUUUUUUUCUUUUUCUUUUUCUUCCAUUAAAUUAAUCUUAAAUAAAUUAAAGUCAGUGCUUUAAUUGAAAAAAAGGUUAGAAAUUAGAAAUUAGAAUUAAAAGAAAAAAAAUAUAUAUAUAUAAAUAAAAAUAAGAAGGAAUUAUGAGUUAUUGAGUGUGCAGGCAGCAUUGGUGUGGGAGCAGCCACAUGGCAAAAUUUACAACCGUUGGAUUGAUUUUUUGUAAGAUCUGCUCUGGUAGGCUGGAGGUUCUCUCUCCACAAUCUUAUCUUUCAGAUGUAUUAUUUAAUAUGUGUUUGUUAAAAAAAAAGAAAAAGAAAUUGCACUAUUCAACUAUGAGGGCUGCUACAUUCGAAGACUCUGUUUAACGUUUUUGUUGCAAUUUUUGUGAAAAUUAUUUAUUCUAAAUAUGUUAAUUAAAAAUAAUAAAAUAUUAAAAAUAUUUACAUUAAAUUUGAUAAAUUUAAAUUAUAAAAAAUUAAGAUGACAAAAUUUUUUUUUUCUGAAAGUAUUUAAAAUGCUAUUAAUUUAACUCUCAAAUCAUAAAUUUUAUUAUAAAUUUUAUAUUUAUUUAAUUUUAGUAUCAAACGAAUAUGAAUUUAUCUUAUUAAUAAUUUAAUUAAUUAAUUAAUUUUGAACUCUUUCAUUAACUUUUCUUUAAACAGGCCUGUCCUUGGAAAAAUGGAAGGAUUUGUUUUUUUCAUUGACAUUGUGAAAUAAAUAUUUUGUUUUUAUUUGUAGAGUUUGUAUGAUUAGAUCUUAAAAAUGGGAGAAGUUGAUGAGAAGCUGCAAGGCCUGAAAUAAAAAAUUAAGAGAAGUAGAGUAAUGGGAAUAAUUGAAAAAAAAAAUUAAUUAGAAAAUUUAUAAAUAAAUAAAACAAUUUAAUCAUGAAAAAUUAAAAGAGUAGUUGGAGAUUAGUUCUCUACUGAAGGGAAUCCAAGAACAAAAGUUCAAAACAGUGGAAAAUUUUUUAAAAAAUAAAAAUAAAAAUAAAAAAUAAAGGCCAGCUAGAGAAACCACAUUUCAUAGCAUUAAAUUAAGGGAUUAAUUUGCAUAGUUGGUCCUUGUUGACAGCUCUCUCUCAACGACCAUUUGCAGUAUAUAUACUCUUUAUUUCAUGCAUGCUUAACUCAAUACAAACCAAAUCCACUAACCACUUCCCCCCCCACAUCCGCCGCCCUGAUCAAGAGACUUGAGGGGCUGAGUCUCAAAUUGACGAGAGGGAGCUGAGUUUUCCGGCGAAAAAUGACCAGUUCUGGUGGCGGCCCCACUAGGGGCCGUCUAUGGCCUCAAUUGGCCUUCGCAUUGGCUGUGGUUCUUGUUUCAAGCUGUGUAAGUUCAGUUUAUGGUGAUGCUUAUCCAUACUCUUCUCCUCCUCCUCCACCUUAUGAGUACAAGUCACCACCACCCCCAUCUCCUUCUCCACCACCUCCUUAUGAGUACAAAUCUCCACCACCACCAUCUCCUAAACCUCACUAUGAAUACAAGUCUCCUCCACCACCAUCUCCUUCUCCACCACCUCCUUAUGAGUAUAAAUCCCCACCACCACCAUCUCCUUCUCCACCACNNNNNNNNNNNNNNNNNNNNNNNNNNNNNNNNNNNNNNNNNNNNNNNNNNNNNNNNNNNNNNNNNNNNNNNNNNNNNNNNNNNNNNNNNNNNNNNNNNNNNNNNNNNNNNNNNNNNNNNNNNNNNNNNNNNNNNNNNNNNNNNNNNNNNNNNNNNNNNNNNNNNNNNNNNNNNNNNNNNNNNNNNNNNNNNNNNNNNNNNNNNNNNNNNNNNNNNNNNNNNNNNNNNNNNNNNNNNNNNNNNNNNNNNNNNNNNNNNNNNNNNNNNNNNNNNNNNNNNNNNNNNNNNNNNNNNNNNNNNNNNNNNNNNNNNNNNNNNNNNNNNNNNNNNNNNNNNNNNNNNNNNNNNNNNNNNNNNNNNNNNNNNNNNNNNNNNNNNNNNNNNNNNNNNNNNNNNNNNNNNNNNNNNNNNNNNNNNNNNNNNNNNNNNNNNNNNNNNNNNNNNNNNNNNNNNNNNNNNNNNNNNNNNNNNNNNNNNNNNNNNNNNNNNNNNNNNNNNNNNNNNNNNNNNNNNNNNNNNNNNNNNNNNNNNNNNNNNNNNNNNNNNNNNNNNNNNNNNNNNNNNNNNNNNNNNNNNNNNNNNNNNNNNNNNNNNNNNNNNNNNNNNNNNNNNNNNNNNNNNNNNNNNNNNNNNNNNNNNNNNNNNNNNNNNNNNNNNNNNNNNNNNNNNNNNNNNNNNNNNNNNNNNNNNNNNNNNNNNNNNNNNNNNNNNNNNNNNNNNNNNNNNNNNNNNNNNNNNNNNNNNNNNNNNNNNNNNNNNNNNNNNNNNNNNNNNNNNNNNNNNNNNNNNNNNNNNNNNNNNNNNNNNNNNNNNNNNNNNNNNNNNNNNNNNNNNNNNNNNNNNNNNNNNNNNNNNNNNNNNNNNNNNNNNNNNNNNNNNNNNNNNNNNNNNNNNNNNNNNNNNNNNNNNNNNNNNNNNNNNNNNNNNNNNNNNNNNNNNNNNNNNNNNNNNNNNNNNNNNNNNNNNNNNNNNNNNNNNNNNNNNNNNNNNNNNNNNNNNNNNNNNNNNNNNNNNNNNNNNNNNNNNNNNNNNNNNNNNNNNNNNNNNNNNNNNNNNNNNNNNNNNNNNNNNNNNNNNNNNNNNNNNNNNNNNNNNNNNNNNNNNNNNNNNNNNNNNNNNNNNNNNNNNNNNNNNNNNNNNNNNNNNNNNNNNNNNNNNNNNNNNNNNNNNNNNNNNNNNNNNNNNNNNNNNNNNNNNNNNNNNNNNNNNNNNNNNNNNNNNNNNNNNNNNNNNNNNNNNNNNNNNNNNNNNNNNNNNNNNNNNNNNNNNNNNNNNNNNNNNNNNNNNNNNNNNNNNNNNNNNNNNNNNNNNNNNNNNNNNNNNNNNNNNNNNNNNNNNNNNNNNNNNNNNNNNNNNNNNNNNNNNNNNNNNNNNNNNNNNNNNNNNNNNNNNNNNNNNNNNNNNNNNNNNNNNNNNNNNNNNNNNNNNNNNNNNNNNNNNNNNNNNNNNNNNNNNNNAUACUACUACAAGUCUCCACCACCACCAUCACCAUCUCCCCCACCACCAUACUACUAUAAAUCUCCUCCACCUCCUAAAAAAUCACCAGCACCAGUGCCAUACUACUACAAGUCCCCACCACCACCUUCACCAUCUCCUCCCCCUCCUUAUUACUAUAAGUCACCACCACCACCUAAGGCCUAUCCCCCUCCAUACUACUACUCUUCUCCACCACCACCACCUAAGGCCUAUCCUCCACCAUACUACUACACUUCUCCACCACCCCCAAAAUCACCAGCACCAACACCUUAUUAUUACCCUUCUCCACCACCACCUAAGGCUCAUCCUCCGCCUUACUACUAUACUUCUCCACCACCACCUGUUCCUUAUCCUCACCCGUCUCCACAUCCCCAUCAUUUCGUCGUAAAGGUGGUAGGAAAGGUCUAUUGCUACAGAUGCUAUGACUGGGAUUAUCCUGAAAAAUCACAUGACAAGAAGCAUCUCAAAGGUAUAUAAAUUUUUCUUAAAUAUUUAUAUUUCUCUCCUAGAAUAUUUUACUACAGCUUUUCAAGUUUUAUCUCUUAAUCUUCAUUGAUUUUAAUUUUCUUUCAUUAAUGAGGAGAUAGCUUAAUUUUGGAUUAUUACAUUAAAUAAUAAUAUUACUAUAAAAUAAGGAUAAUUUAUAGGAUAAUAAGACAUGCAUUGCUUAUUUAAAAUUUUUGUUUUGGCGGCUAAUGUGCUUCUAUUAGACAUGUGGCAUAAUUCUAAUUAUUUAAAGGUGGAUUUUAUUUUUCUUUUCUUUUUUAAUAUUACAAUCAUAGUAAUGAUGUAAUUAUCUGGACAUUCCUGGUUGUUUAUGUUCUGCCUUAAAAUCAUAAAAGAUUUUAUUUUAUUACCUUUUUUUUUUUUUCUGUUAGCUCCUUUCAUCACCUCUAGAUUAGGCUUAAAGGCCAGCAAGUUACACUUUGGCUCUUAUUUUACACAUAACCAGUAGAUAAGUCGGGUUAUAAAGGUAAUAUGAAAAUGACACUUAUAAAAUAAUAAAUAAAUAAAAGUGCACCAAUUAUAAUUUAUGAAUUAUGAUGGCUCAGUCUACCAAGUUGCCAUUUUAUUAAAAUUAAAAUUUAAAAUUUAAAAUAUUUUUUUAUAUAAAUAUCGAAAUAAAAGGGCAUAUGUAUUUUUUUAAAUAAUUAUUAGAUUUAAAUAAAACAAGAAAAAGUAACUAUUAUUAUCCUAUCUUUUUGACUUGUAUAAAAGAAAAAAUAUGGAUUUUUUAUGUCUUAUUUUUAUUAAACAUGAAUCAGGUGCCGUAGUGGAGGUAACAUGCAAGACAGGUGAAAAGGAGAUCAAGGCUUAUGGUAAAACCAAGAUCAACGGUAAAUACAGUAUCACCGUUGAGGGCUUUGCGUAUGGCAAAUAUGGAGCCGAGGCUUGCAAGGCUAAGCUCCAUAAGGCACCCGAAGGCUCACCAUGCAACAUACCAACUAACCUCCACUGGGGCAAGAAGGGUGCCAAGCUCAAGGUGAAGUCCAAGACAAAGUAUGAAGUUGUCCUCUAUGCUAAGCCAUUUGCUUAUGCUCCUAAGACUCCUUAUGAAGAGUGUGAGAAGCCCAAGCCUAAGCCUACACCUGCUCCUUACUAUUACACUUCUCCACCACCACCACCAUAUUAUUACAAAUCACCACCACCACCAUCUCCAUCCCCACCACCUCCAUACUACUACAAGUCUCCCCCUCCACCAUCUCCAUCUCCUCCUCCACCUUACUACUAUAAGUCACCACCUCCCCCUUCUCCAUCACCACCACCCCCAUACUACUAUAAAUCNNNNNN
rnacentral:lncRNA from 1 species